rnacentral:lncRNA from 1 species
UCACAAAGUAAAGAUCAUAGACAAACAUAGUAUGCAUACUUGGUGUGUGGCAUGACUAGUGUUUAAGAAAACAUAGUGUACAUGCUUGGAGCAUGGGACAACUAUUGUUUUAAAUUCAAGAAUAAAGUUGAUAGCUGAAACAGUAUACAAUGAAUAAUGUGUAAUCAUAUGGUGAUAAAUAAAAGGUGUUUUAUUUAUGUUCAAAGGGUUGAUACCAUAUUGGAUUCAAUUAUUAUUGUGUUUCACUUUGCAUGUUUUGACUUCCCGAAUAAACUAGGUUAUUCUUCCGGAAUGACUAAGUUAUUCAAACCAUCCACAGUCGGUCAUAUGUUGGAAGUAGAUAUGAAUUAAGACUGUCAUGGGUUGGCUUGUAGAGGUCUAAGGUGUUGGACAAAGGGCUACAACACUCAUGAGUGCUCAUAAGUUCUGAGUAUUGGAUUCAACCCGCGCUCAUUGGAAUCACUUCAUGGAUUUUAUCACGAGUGAUCAUGAGACGAUAAUAUCUUAUAUUCUUCAAACCUAGAGAUAUGAGUUGUUACUAUGAGUUGGUUGUACAUUGAUUGCACGAAAACGCAUUUGGUAACUCGGUGCUAUAAAACGUGCCUUUGUGUAUGAUUCAACAAGUAGUAGAACAAGCCAUAUGAGUCGAAGUUUAUCCAUUCCUUUUACCUUCGGGAUAAAAGCGAUAUCUGUGGGCCCCUCGAUGAUUUGAUGAUGACAAAUGGAAGUGCUCGGCCGGGCCAGGACUGAUUUGAUUUGUUCAAUUAGUCAGUCGUCAUAAAUCGGAAAUCGGGAAACAACAAAUGGACAGAGAGAAUGAUUAUAAUCCAUGUCUCAGUCCAUAUGAUAUCUAGAAUGGAGGAAUAUAUGAUCCCUUAUCUAAUGGACAAGUUCGUUGACAAGAUCAGAGUUCGACAGCAGCUUUAAGAGCUACGAUUGCCAGUUAGGUUUGAAGUCAUACGCAAUAAUAGUUUUAGACUUAUCCAAGUGGGAGACUGUUGGAUUAAUGUCUAAGUCCAUAACUAUAUUUGGUAUGUACUUGACCCGACCCGGCAUGGUCCAUUUGGGUUGCACUUCACCGACACAAUUUAUAUGGAUAAUCUUUUGAGAAUAGUAUGUUUAUGAUUAAUAUUAAUAUAUUAUAAGUUCUAAUAUAUUAAUAUGGAAUCAUAUUAUUUAAUUAGUAUUGAUCAAGAAUUAAUUUAUAAUUAAUUAAGUGAUCAAAAGGAACUAAUUAAAUAUGGACUCUUAUAUAUAUGGAAUGGGCCAAGUUCAUUUAGGUUGGGCUAAGCUUUCAUGGAUAGUCCAUGGAGUGUUUAACCCAUGGAUCCUAGGAAAUGAAAGGUCAUGGGUAUUAGGGUUUAACCCUAAUCCUCCAUACUAUAUAAAGAUGUCUUUGGUUGGUGAAAUUGGCACUAGUGUGGAUACACUAAAGAAGGGCUAGCCAAUUUCACUAGAGAGAACCAAGUAAUCAUAUUCUCUAAAGUAUUCCAAGGUGUCUUGGUGAUUUGUGAUUCCACUUGAGGCUUCCACACUAUUGGGGCUAAGCUCUUAAAGCUUGAAGACAUCAAGCUACAUCAAGAGGUAUGUAUUCUAUCUUGUUACAUUCAUAGUUUUUGUAUGCUAGAUUAGGAUAAUACCUUGGAUGUACUUAUUUGCAUGUAUAAUAGAGAAAACAUAGAUCCAAGGUAUUUAGGGUUGCAUGUACACUUAGGAAGUGUUAGAAUGCUCAAAUCCCAACAGUAUCCCCCCCUAAAACAUAUAAAAACAUUUGAAAGGUUCAUUAAAGGGGUAUGAACUCACCUGAAACCGAGUAAAUCUGGCAAAUCGGGUGAAAGUGUCGGUUGAGCGUUUUGUACCAAAUAAGGACUUGUGCACCUCUUAAGACCCUAAUAUCAUAUGAAAUAUGUAUUUUACAAGAAAUUAAUCAUUUUAUGCUUUUCAUUAAAACAUUUAGGUAUUCUAGCAUCUUAGGGCUUAGAAUGGGUUCUCGGGAAUUAUACAAGGCCAAGAGGGGUUUACGGGGGAGUCCAAGAGUUUCCUCCCUUGGAGUUUACGGCCCAAAGGCCACUCCUUGGGAGUUUACGGCCAUAAGCCCCUAGGCUUGGCCGUGAACUCUUGUUCUCCUCCAAAAAUGGAUGUUAAGGCCUUAAAUCAAUUCCCUAUUUUUCUAGUGAAUGUCUAGGACCAAUUUGGGGGUUCAAAACCUUCAUUUGGUUAUGUUUGGGGGAGUUUACGGUCCUAGCUUAUGCUUGGGCUGUAAACUCCAUUUUGUCCCUCAAAAUGAGUUGUUAAAUGGUCCUAAGCACUUCCUAAAAUUAUAACUAAAAUUCUAGAAUGCCUUAGAUGAGUUUUUGGGACUUUUUAACAUGGAAAUUGGGUGUUUACGGCCUAAGCAUAGGCUUGGGCCGUAAACUCCCUUUUAGGCUCUAAAAUCUUAAGUUUUCAUGUCCAAACUCAUCUAGGUAUAUCCCUUAAUUAGUAUACAAGCUUAUGGGAAGUAAAAACGGGACAUUGGCCAAAUUUUGGGGUGUUUAUGGCCUAAGGGGCUUCCUAGGCUGUAAACUCCAUAUAUUCCACUAAUUCUUAUGAUUUUUGGGCUCUAAAUGCAAUGGAAUACGUUUAGAACAAGACAGGGAAGAAACUUUUACGUUAGGAAGCCGGCAUUCGUGGUUUUCGGGGUCGGGAUCGAGUCUAGAGAGAGAAAGUAGUGAGAGAGAGUGAGAGUGUGGUAAAGAGUGUUCAAGUGGUGUCCACUUCCUUUUUAUAUGCCUCAGGUAUUCCACCCGGUACACGGCUACCCGAUGCUAAAGUUUAAUGGGGUUUAAACUUUUUACCCGGGUGAAGUGGUUGAAAAGUAAUAUAACUUUAUUUAGUUAAACAGGAUUAACACUUACAAGUUAUAUUUACUUAUUUUAAAAUGAUAACUUCAAGAAAUAUAAAUAGAUAGAUAUUUAUUUAUUGAUGACUCCUAACAUUACGGAAAUUAAUACAUAACGACGAAUUCCGUUAGUGAAAACGGGAUUAUGUAACGGCAAUAAAUUUGGGUUGUCACAAGUUCCUUAUGAACCCUCACAUGAAUAAUGCAUUUAUCUAUAUAGUAAGUUGUAUGAAGUGUUUUAGUUUGUAAAUAACAGUACCUUUGGUUAGAAAUUUUCGAUAUCUUUAGAGUUUUAACACAUAAUCACAUCUUAACUCAAGAAAUACACACAUAACAUGCAUAACACUUAGAUCUAUCACAUAGCAACUUGUAUUCUCCCCGAAAAAUCAUAUAAAACCGAAAAUAAAGGGGGUAUGAACUCACUUGAUGUUUGGAUUUGGUUUUGAUGAAUAUUUGAGAGGAGAUGAGGUGGUUUUCGGCCUUAAGUGCUUCCUUGGAAGAAGUUUUCAAACUUAGUUGAUUCUAGGAAGUUAGAACAUGAAAUGAAUAUUGUAAGAAGGAGUUCUUAGGAUUAAAAUGGAAGCUAACAACUUGUAUGAGAUGAUGACUUACCAAGAGGUUGAAACCUUGAUGAACACUCUUGAAAUCACCCAUUAAGUCACAAAAUUUUGAGGAGAAAAGGGAUUUCUUGAGAGGAUUUUUGGAGAGUUUGAAAGUAGAAAUGUGUGUAUGUGUUUGUUUUUCAGUCGAGAGUAGAGAAAAAAGAGAGGUAGAGAUGAAAAUUGGUUAAUUCAUGGAAGAUUAAGGUUUAAGUGUUUAGAUUCAUGGGAGGUAAUUAGCAUGGAGAUCCUAGGGGUAAAGAUGAGGUGUCACCUCCUAUUUCCAUGAAAUUUCCUCUCUUUUGUUGUCGUUGUUGUUGUUUUUGUUGUUGUUGUUGUUGUUGUUGGGCCAAGAGAGAAAGGGAAAAGAGAAGAAAAGGAGAAGUAGUUUGGGCCUUUCACGCUUGAUUUCGAUAUUAUGAGGCCCAAAUGGAUGGUUAUCGGCCCAUUGGGCCCUUAUAAGGGUUCACGGCCCAAUGAAAUAAAAGGAAUGGAGUUUAUGGUUGAUUAGGUCUAAUUAAAUCAUUUAAGGCCCAUCAUGGCCCAUUAGAGGUAAACUGAUUCAUUCUAGGCCCAAAUGGCCCAAAAUGCUAUAGUUUCAUGAAUGUGGGUCCAAUUUGGGUCCAAAUAUGGUUCGUAGGCCCAAAGUAGUUAAAUUGGAAGUUUAUUGGUCCAUUAGGCCCGAUAGAAGAAUCCUAGUCCAUAAUGAUCUUGAACCGGGAUUUUUAGGGUUUUCAACCCAUAGUUGAAGAUAUAAGAGGUAUUGUAUUAGGUUUUGACCUUCAUUCAAGAGUUUGGAUUCAAAUGGAUGAUUUCAUGUUUAUCAUAUAGCAUGAUAUUCACUUAGAGUACAAGUUUUACAAUAGAUGGUGUUUACAUGAGAAUAGAAUUUCCAAUCAAGAUCUUAUAGACAUACAAUCUGUGACCUACGCUUCAAUAUCCAUUACUCUUAAGGAAGUAGUGUUGAGGUGGGAUCAAUUAUUCGAAGGUCUAUUUGAUCUUCAAUUAUAUACAAUACAAACUGGUGUACCUUGUACAAUUAAAGGAGUAUUCCGUAAGGAUCAUUCCAUAAAGUCACCUUAAAAGCUUAUAGGUUCUUUAGUCACUUUCAUUCUCGCACGACAAGCCCAGAUAAACGUAACCACUUCCUCAUAAUAUGCAACAGAAGAGUCCAGGAGAGACAAGAACCAGUUCAUAAGAGAUUUCAAGGAAAGAUCAGCCGAAGUAACCAAAACGUCUUACGCGUCACACUAAUAAAUAUUAAUUAGGUUAAUUUAUAGAGUUAGUGGAAACACUUCUCACAUUACAUGUGUUAGAAUUAUUUUCUUACAUGCAGCUGGCAACAGUUAUUCAGGAAACAGAUAUUCAUUCGAGGAUAGUUAUUUCAAUUUCAUAGAGUUUAUUAGGUAUAGAAUCAUGUAUGAAUUGUUCCUAGAACCUUGUGGAAGUCAGGACCCGAUACAUCCAGAACUAGGAUAACCUUGUCUUUUCAGCUUUCGGUUUGUGUCCGUUGCUAUAGACUUAUUCCGUCUCGUCUUUGUUUUCUUUUAGCAAAGAUGCCUCCUCGCAGAUCACCCAGACACCCUACUCCAAUAACUCCAAUACUUUCUCCACAAAUCGAUGUAGCAACUCUGAACGUUGCAGUGGCCGCAGCUGUCGCAACAGCCAUGACACAAUAUCACCUCACCAGUACAGGUGGAGGAACGCCUACCGAUUCUACUCAAGGUGAGGUCCCUGUGCACUAAGGAGAGUUCUCCUACAAGGACUUCACCAGAUGCCAAUCAGUGUCCUUUAAAGGGACUGAAGGAGUCAUUGCCCUCAUGCAAUGGUUCGAGAACACAAAGUCGGUUUUCGAAAUCUGUUUAUGCCCAGAAGGAAGCAAAGUGAAGUUUGUUGCCUGCACCUUCUCUGGCAAGGCCCUAACAUGGUGGAACAGCCAUGUUAAGUCACUGACCCUAUCAGUGGCAAACUCAAUAGGUUGGGAAUUUCUUAAAGAGUUAAUGUGGGAAGAAUAUUGCCCGUUAGGCGAGAUUCAAAAACUGGAACAAGAGCUAUGGGAUCUCACUAUGGUCGGCUCAAACAUAGUGACCUACACAGACUGGUUCAUCAAACUAGCAGCUCUAUGCCCCGAGAUGGUUACCUCGGAGAGCAAGAAGAUAGAAAGAUACAUUUGGGGUCUGACUGCUCCGACCCAAGGAAAUGUGUUGUCUUCUAACCUAGCCACAUUCGAUAGUGCUAAACGCUUGGCUCAGCGACUCAUCGAUCAUGGAGUCUGCCACAGCGUAAAAGUCCCUAUUCCCAAGUCAUAAAGGGAAAAGGAGUAUAAUCAGGAGUCGGAGAACAAGAAAAAGUAGAAGUGAACAACACAAGACACCCUGCAAGAGCAACGAGCGAUUACUAUGUACGCCGCUACGAGACCUGCUGCUUUAGCACCUACUAGUCGUUAUGCUGGAAACCUUCCGAAGUGUGGAAAGUGCAACUUUCAGCACACCGGAUUAUGCCGAGAAGUGCAGUGUCUGAACUGCCACAGAAAGGGACACAUGGUCCGUUACUGCAGGGUACUGGCUCAACCGAUCUCCCAAGUCCCCAGAGUUGAAGAAAACCAAGCCUGCUAUGUCUGUGGUGAGACUGGACACAAUCAAAGGGACUGCCCGAUAAUCAGGAACUCAGGAGUGGAUGGACGUAUUCUAAUGAUCACCGUAGGAGAAUCUACCCCGGAGUUGUCGGCGAGUAGUGGUACGUUUUCACAAUGGUAAUUACUUUUAAAAUUAAUUUAUAUUCAUAUAAGAUUAAAAUUUGGGGAUAACACUUAAAAGUAACUAUAACAACUCACAUGUUGAAAUAGGUCGUAAUAUUCAGGAGAACUAAAAGAUGCCUUAGAGAAGCUAUUAUGGCUCACCAUACACAUCAGGGUUGUGCGCAACUAAGAUGUUGCAGACUUAGAGUAAGUGACUCUUCUUAGGUCCUCGUUCCUUAAUUGGUUGAGGAUUUGAGGCAGAGAUACUCAGUCGACUGCUUGGCUCAUCUUAAGUAUUCACAACUUGUAUAUGACGGGUGAUGGUAGUGGUACCAUGGGGGAUCAUGGUAUAAAAGUAUCCCUUCAGUUAGUAAAGCACUUUUAUUUGUAUGUAUGCGCACAUAGCGGUACGAUACAUAGUAGUGUUAACAUCAAAUAGAAAACAGGAAACACGAGAACAGUUACAAGGAGUACAUUGUUGAACAUACUAGGAGUGCAGUACUGAGCAUACCAGGGAUACAUCGUCGUUUAUCAGACGUUUCUUUCAUUUGACCAAAAAUUUGUUCAGUAUAGAGUCCGGUGUAUUCUUUCGUCAUGAGUUGGCGUGGUCCUCACCAUACUGAAUUCAUAUGUUUCUAUCACCUCGAUCGGCAAGUUCUUGAAACUUUCGUCCUUCGUAUCGAAAGUACGACCUAAACCUCAAUUUUAUCUUUCGCAUUCUAAACCCCCGAAGUACUCGUACGAAGAGUACUUUGUCCUCCGAAGCCUUUCGUCAGAUGUCCGCAGACCAUCACGAAAUACCACUCGUCCAGCGGACCAAGUUCGAGCAUAGAGGCUAUGGACGAAUACAGCCCACCUAAUAUUAAUAAGUGUAUACGCAAGGGUGGUAUAUAAUUAUGAUUACGUAGAUCUAGUAUGUGUGUUUCCGUCCUAUCUCCUGUCCUCGUUGGGUUGUGGACCUUGGGUAGAGUCGCACAUCCGACAGUCCUACUAAUCCUAAUUAUAUACGGCUUGUAUACACGAGGUAAUGAUAGAUGGACCAAGUAUGAAUCCUAUCAAGAACACUAGGGCAAAGUUGCCAGGUCUACUAGUGAGUAUUCUAUAAAGCAGAAGAGCUCAACCCUAGUAGUAACGUUAAGAAAGCUAAUUUUGGGACGAAAUUCAUUCUAACGGGGGGAUGAUGUGACAACCCAAAAAUUUCCUUUAUCAUACAACCACUCACUUCGACUGAAGUCAAAACUGUGCCUGCUAACUUUCAAACUUUUUGGAAUAAGUUUGAGUGUUUUAAAGUUAGUGCUUCAGAAGAUAUCAAGAGAGAGGAUACCCUAGGGUUUAUUAUGUAACAAUAAGUGCCCAAAACUUCAAGAGUUUGGAGUUUACGGUCCAAAAUAGUUUUGGGACCGUAAACCCUAAAGGCUAUAUAAGUGAAACUUAGAUAUUUUAUUCACUUUAUCACAUUUCCAAGACUAGAGCCAUUUCUCUCUCAAGUAUCAUCCCAUUUUUCUUCAAGAUCUUCAACUUGUAAGUGUUUCUAGCCCUAAUAUGCUUAUAUCAAGUGUUAAACAUCAAGAAAUCAUCCAAAUACCCCAAGGAAAAGGUGUUCACGACCAAAGAUCCUCUUGGACCGUGAACACUAAAAAGUAUGCCAAAGUGUGCCUUAUGCCCCUAUAGACCUUGGAACCAAACAUAGAAACUAUCCUUGACAUGUUUAGACCUUAGGAACAUCAAGAACACACGCAAAGAUCAUAAGGAACAAGUGUUUAUGGCCCAAGAAUCUUCUUGGACCGUAAACCCUAAAAAGGGUGCUAAUGUUUCCCUAUUCUCUUGCCAAACCUUGGAAACAAGCAUAGAACUUUUCACUUGAUGUGUUUAGCACCUAAAAGUCACCAAAAUACCCCAUGUAUAUGUGUUUACGGUUUGGGAAACCUCCCAAAACCGUAAACACCUCAAAUACAUGUUUUGAUGCCCCAAACUUUUUCCUUAAGCCUAGAAACUAGCCUAGACCUUAACCUUGAAGUGUUUAAGACUUGAAAACAUCAUUUAACCAUAAACCAUUUGCGUUUACUACCGUAAACCCAAAUACAAAUGGUCCAAAAACCGUAAACCCCAUAAAGGGGUGAUAUGUUGCCCUAAUCACUUCCUAAGGCUAAGACUUGAAGUUAGGAUGCUUCAAAAUGACUUCUAGGACUUCAAAUCACAAAAUGGUCAAAAGGACAUGUGUUUACGGCAGUAAACUCAUGAUUUUACAACCGUAAAAUCAAGGGGAGUUGGUUACAAAACCGUAAACACCCUUAGAUGCCAUUUCACUUCCCUUUGAUGAAUCACAUGUGAUUCCAACACUUAACCAAGGUGUUUCCUAGUCCCGGAAGGUGUUUCCUUUCAUAUAGUUGUUUAUAAACACUAUAUUCAUGUCAUUAUGUGUCCUUAUAUGUCAUUUAGGACUUGUUGUGCCUCGGGACUUCAUUCGUGGAACUUUUCAUCCGUACGCGCAUACUCGUUUGAAUCACCCACAUCAGGUGAGUUCAUACCCCGUAAUGAAUCUUUUAACUAUUUUAACUGUUUUAAGGGGGAAUAUAGGUUGAACAUAAUGAUAAUUGUGUAAAUGUUUGUUAUAAACAUCUUUCAAAAUGUUACUUAUGUUAUUUAUAAGUUGUCAAAACAUUUCAAAACUCUUUUAAAGGUUAUGUUACUUUAUAGUUAUACAAAACUCCAUUUUUAAAGUACAAGCAUAACUUAGUAGAGAAACGAGUCUUUUCAGUAACAGUCCAAGUAGAGCAUUAGUAAACUAUUAUAGGUAUAGUUUAGGAGAAUGCUAUUCAUUACUUCUAGUACAAUGAAGCACACAAAGAGUCAGUCCAGUUCAUGAGUCUAUACUAACGCAAUACGUUUACAUAGAUACGAUAACAGAACAUAACAUAGUAAGGUGCUAUAGCAUGGAACGUUUUCAGGAUCUAACUAUACCAAUGAAUCACAAUGCAUUGUGAUAGUUAUAUUGGGUAUACAUGAUCAUAGUAAUGUGGAUGUUCGCGGCUUGCAGUCAUGCAGGGGUCGCGUGUAGUUCCUAGAAUCCCUUGACAAGGGAGCGUUUAGCAUAGGAUCUAGCGAUCACAUUAUUCCUUAACCCUCAAUUAAGGAAAAAUAGUACUUAAAGUAGUCACUUAUUACAAAUACUAGAAUACUUACACUGUCAAUACGACAAUUACAGAAGGAUAUAAAAUUCCAGUGUCAAUGUUAUUAAUAGUCGUACAGUCGGGUCUUGGUAGAAGGCUACUUUCAAAACAGCCGAGUCUUGGUAGAAGGCUACUUUUAAAAGUUAGGACCAUAAUGUUAAUCUUAUGAUUCCUUAAUGUAUACACUAUAGGAUAAAUAUAUACUAAUAGAUUCCGACAGCUAAUAGGAUGUGUGCUCUUCACUUCAUUUCCUGUUCUCGUUGGAUUGUGGGCUUGGAACGAGUUCACCCAAUAUAUUAUCUACCCGAAUCUAUAUAUAUUUAUGCUUAGUAUACAUUAAGUCAUCAUAAGGGUACCAUGUAUGGAUCAGGUUAUAGGACAUAGAGUCAAAGCACAACUUUUCUAGUACAAAACAUACUUUUCAAAGUCAUUACUUUUGGUAUACAAAACUAGAUAUUUCUCAGAUAAGGACUUAAUCCAUUUUAUUAAGCCAGUUCAGUUUUAUAGACUAUAGGUGAGUAACUCUAUAACAUCUUAGUUUAUACACCUUGUUUAUAUAUAAAACUAAUACCCAAUAGAUUUUUAAAUGCGUGUUUUCCGCCUUACUUCCUGUUCUCGUUGGAUAGUGGGCGUAGGGCAGAUUCACCCAAUUAACUUUCUACCCGAUAUCAGAUUAUAUAUAGUAGUAUAAACAAAGCUAUUAUAAAAGUAGUCACUGUGGUCAAUAUUUUACUAUAAGAAAAAUAGGUUUUCUUAAAGAACUUUUCAUUAAAUAUAAGGAACCAUUACAAAUAACUCCUUGAGUAACAAGUGAAUACAUCAGGGUUAUAUAUGACAACGAUCUAACAACCAAUUGAAUGUGUGCUAUCCGCCUUACCUUAUGUUCCCCGUUGGGUUGUGAGCUUAGGACAGAUGCGCACAAUCGAUUGUUUGUUUACUCUAAGUAUAUAUAACUUGUACCCACUUAGUACGCAUAGAAAGGCUUGUAGUGUCAUUUUACUUAACUUUCAUCCAAAUAGGAAAUAUAGGAUUUUCUAGAGGAACAGGCGAACUUUUCAAAACAGAACUUACAGUUUACAUCACUUUUACAUAUACAUUUUCAAUCACAUUUUACAGCUUACUCACAUCACUAAAAUCUUAUCAACUCACCAGCUUAAUUGCUAGUCAACUCUUUCAAAUAACUUGUAUUCUCAGGAGACUAUUAGACAGGUGCUCAUGCUGGGACUUCAGAAGAUGGAGCAUUAUAGCUUCAAGUCUUGUUUUGUUAUUUGUUUAUGACUUCUGUGUUUUAUGAACACACACAUUGUAAACACUUCCUUUCUAAAUGAAAUGGUUGUUUAUUACUUGCUUAGCAUAUACAUAUCUCGUGAUACUUCACAUGACGUACUCCACCCCCGAACGUUUCCGCCAUUCCAGUUUUGGGGUGUGACAGAUUAGGAGUGAGAAUAACAACAAUAAGUAANNNNNNNNNNNNNNNNNNNNNNNNNNNNNNNNNNNNNNNNNNNNNNNNNNNNNNNNNNNNNNNNNNNNNNNNNNNNNNNNNNNNNNNNNNNNNNNNNNNNNNNNNNNAUAUAUAUAUAUAUAUAUUAUGGGUUGAAAAUCAUAUGUGCUCACAAGGCUCCCAAGUCCGACUUACUCAGUUUUUUUGUAUCACAAGUAAUGGUACGAAGGUUCAGGGAUAUUGAUGUUUGAAUCUGUAGAGAGAUUUAAGAAGUUUAUUAGUUAUAAAACAAAUUAAUGUAAUGCAUGUGAGGACAAGUUUAUGCUUAUGUUUCUAUAUCGGUUAUGACAUACCAAACUUUUGAAUUUUAUCGAAAAAUGUUUCUUAGGAAAUGAUUUGUUAUCGAAAUUAUAUUACAUUAAAAAUGUUUUGGGACAAAUUUCACAUUAAUAAAAGAAUACCGUGUUUUACAUAAGCAAAAGAAAAUGUUUGUAAUUGGCCAUAUAAUUGUGACAUGGGCAGAGUUUGUAUUUUAAUUAAUUAAUUCAGAAAAUUCUUUGAUUGUGUUUACUCUAUUUACUCCAUUGUUGCCUUAUUGAAAUACAUUGCAAAGGAAUUCCGGAAGCGAUAUUGUCUACUCAGUGAUCCUUUAGGAUAGGUACCACAAAAUCAUGAUCUUAGGAUAAAGGAGUGAGAAUAACAGGAAUGGAUAAUCGUGUUAUUUAUUUGAUGUGAUAUAAAAAAUAAAUACAUUAUAUUAUUGUAUGUUGAAAACCCUAAUGCUCACCAUGCCCCCAUACCUGACCCACUUAAUUCGUUUGUAUCACAAGUAAUCAUAUGAAGGUUCUGUUGGAUUAGGUAUCUAAACACAUAACUAUAAUUGGUAUUUACAACACAAUCCUUUUGGAUUGCCCUCAAACCUAGAAAUUAGAAAGGAUAACUUUUAUAGAGAGAGAUUAAUGUGUUAUGUGAAUAAUAAAUUAAAUAAAUGGUUUAUUAAUGUGUUAUAAAAAUAAUAUAUUAAUUAGAAUUCGUAUUAUACAAUUAAUAAUUAAUCAGAUAUUUAUUGGAUUAGUUAAAAGUAUAGGGACUGUUUGGUUAUUUAUUGAUAGUUGAGGAAGGAAGGCUCUAGAACUUCAUGGAAUGAGGUGGAUGAGAAUCUCUAGGUGAUUGGGCUGCUUGGUCACCAAGCAAGGGAAUCCAGGGCUUAUCCCUUAAACCCUAGCUUUCACUCCAUGUAUCUUCAACUAUAUAAGGACUCUCUAUCCCCUUGAUUUCACCAUCCCUUCCCUCUAGAAGCCUUAGACAAAUUUUUUUCCCCUUCACAUCUCUCUUAAAUUAUCCUCUUGUUAGCUUUGGUGUGAUUUCAUUAGAGGAAUGACAUUUAUGUUGUUAGCUUCCAAGAGAUCGUCAAAGGGAAUUUAUGUCACGCCCCAAAACCGAGAACGGCGGAAACGUUCUGGGUCAGAGGACAUCAUGUAAUGUAUCACAACAAUGUAAAGUAGUAAACAAGCAACAACAUCAUCCAUUGCAUUAAUAGUAUAAUUUUGAUUACAAGUGUGUUCUUUCAUAGUAUAAAACAACAUAAUGAAUACUCAAAAUAAAAGAGGAGUCUUGACCGCUCUAUCUUCUCCAUACCUUACAUCGGUACCUGUCUAUUUGUAACCUGAGAAUACAAGUUAUUUUGAAAGCGAGUACCAGCAAUAAAGCUGGUGAACUCAUAAGUGUUUUAAUGUUAUUGCUUUGAAAAGUUGUUAUGAAAGACUGGUGAAUGUUUGAUGAAACAUUUAGUAUAAGUAUGAAAACCCUAGAAAAUCCCAUAUUUCCUACUAGUAUAGAAAGUAGUCUUCUACCAAGACCUGGAUGUUUUGAAUAUUUGUUUCUAAAAGUCCAACAUUUAUCCAUAAGUGUGUGGUAGUUUAAAAGUUCCAAAACUAUAACACAAUGAUGCUUAUCAUGCCUAAAUAAUAGAUUUAUGUAUGUAUAAAAUCGCCAAGGCACUUGGUGACUCUGUAAACCAAUAUAUUUUUAAUACCCACUAUGAGUCUUUUGUUGAAGUAAAACUGGUUAAAAGAGUGUUUAUCCCGAAUUGUGAACAUGCUUAUAAUAUCCCAUGGUGUAGUUAUUACCCCCUGAGCAUGAUUGAGUUAAAUGUAUGCCAUUUGGAAGUUUGUGUAUGUAUUUUCAGAAAAUCCGAUGUUUUCUUAUGAGUGUAUAAAAUGAAUAUGAAUGAUGGUUGUAUAAAUCGAUUGAGUUAAAUGUAUGCCAUUUGGAAGUUUGUGUAUGUAUUUUCAGAAAAUCCGAUGUUUUCUUAUGAGUGUAUAAAAUGAAUAUGAAUGAUGGUUGUAUAAAUCUUAUGUAUUUGAACCAGGAAAAUCCCUUAUUUUCCUAAAAGUGAAAUGUAGUCUCAAAUGACCAAGACCGUAAGCUAUAAGCAACUAUGACUGCUCAAAAGNUAUUGUACAAAAUGAAUGUAUAUGAACCAGGAAAAUCCUAUAUUUUCCUAAAUGUGAAAUGCAGUCUCAAAUUACCAAGACCGUAACCUGUAAGCAAUUAUGACAUGCUAAAAAGAAGAUGUAUAGUUUUAUUUUUAAGUAAAACUAGUUGUGGAAGUGUUUAUCCUGAGUUUUUUAUUAUGCUGAUAAUACCCUAGAAUAUAGUUAUUACCCCUAAGCAUGAUUGAGUUAUGUAUUACUACGUGCUUGAGUCAUUGUUUCCGCGUGUUGUGAGUUCCUCAUAACCAUACUAGACGCAGUACCUAUGUUGACAUUUGUCACCCCUAAUGACGGACUGUAGCUAACAGUCAGGGUGCGGAGUUGUCAGCCCCGUAUAGAUCUAUACACACUUGUCACGCUCUCCCUCCAAGAGACUCUGGUUAUAGGUGGGGACUUUCGUUUGGUACAAACAAAGCCAUAUGACACCACAUGAUUACUAACAACGAGUUCACGAGUAAUAUGAUGAAAAAUCGUUUGUAUGAAAUGAUUUCCUUUUCUACCGUGUUACAAAGACGUGAUGAUGAGUUGAGUUUUCUUGUAAAAGCAUCAUGUUAUAGUUGAAAUGGUUACCCUUGAUAUGAUGUAGUAUGCAAACGUAUAAAUAAAAAAUAUUUCUAUUUAUAAAACAUAUUGUAUCCCAAGAGGGUAAAGUUGUGUUGUGAGGUAUUUUGCAUGAUAAUAACUUCAUAAAAUAGUUAAAACAACAGUAUGAACAGUAUAGCAAAAGAUCGAUGUUUCACACGAUUUUAGUCAUGCGUUUACUUGUAUUCCCCCCUUAAAAGUGUAUAAAAGCAUUUACAAAACAUUUGAAAACGUAGUUAUAGGGGUAUGAACUCACUUGAUUGAAGUGGUUGAUUUGAAGUAGUCAAGAGGAGAAUCGAGUAGAACUUCGACAGGAAGAGUUGAAAACGCGGGAAAAUAUCGGGAUUCUCGUGAAUCUCGGGAAUCUUGGGAACACAAAACCUUCCUUCGGGACUUGAAGGUGAAAAACCGGGGUUUUGGGAGGGUCUCGGGGGCUUAAACGCAGAGUUUUGACGCGAGAAAGAAGGGAACUGAGCAAUGGAACUCGGAGCCCUUGAAAUCUAUUUAUAGGGGCAUUUUUGGGGUGUGCCACGUCGUGGCAAGUGAUGGCCACGUCAUGGGGAGUCAAACUUAUCCUCUUCCAUUGAUUUGACACCCUCAGUCACUUGCCGGGUCGUGGCAAGCUUGUGCCACGUCGUGGCAAGCCUGACAGCCUUGAAUUUCGGGCCUCGAACUUGUAAAAUCCAUAACUUUCGCGUACGCGCUCCGUUUUCAACGUUCUUUAUAUGCACGCGUAGCUAAAAAUAUGAUCUACAACUCUCGUUUAGACUUCAUCGGCAAAUUUUUUACUUUAUUUUUAAUUAUUUAUUUUUAACGGGUCGAGACACGAAAAGUCCGUUAAAAUUCCAUAACUUCUUCAUCCGAUGUCCGUUUUCGUCAGACUUUUCGCCGUUGCGCUACUAUUAUUGAGACCUUCGAUUCUCAUUUGGUAUGUUUUGGCCAAAAGUCUCUCAAGCUCUAUUUCGAGUUUUUAGCUGCCUACCGCUAUAUCCGGAUCUUCAAAAAAUCAUAACUUCCUCAUACGAAGUAAGAUUUGGACGUUCUUUUUAUGUACGCUUACAGUUUAAUGAUAUCUAAAACUUUUAUUUAGAUAACUAAGGCUAAAAAUUAUUGUAUUGAAACUUCGCGUUUUUCGUUUAAUCGGUGUUGCUUGUUUUGUCAGAAAUCUUAGAAUGGUCAUAACUUCUUCGUUAUAACUUGGAUUUUUGUGUUCUUUAUAUGUAUGAAAACCUUGAUACGAUUCCUACCACUUUAUUUAACCCAAAUAAGAUUUUAGGAAAGUUAUAUUUUGACCUAAAUUUGACUGGUGUUACAUUACAUUGUCUCGAAAUAUCGGGUUGUCACAUCAUCCCCCCGUUAGAGGGAAUUUCGUCCCGAAAUUAGAGUUUAAGCAAGACUUAAUAAUUAUGUUACGGAUAGAAGUUUUAUUUGCUUCUCGUGUUCUUAAGUGAACUCAGGUUCUCGCUUGGCAUUCCAACGAACCUUUCACUAUCGGGAUACGACUUUGCUUCUUUCGUUUGACUUCGCUGGUAUGAUAACCCUUCUUGGUCGAAUGUAUGUUGAAUGUUUUGUGGUUUGUGAGAGUAUGCCCUACAAGUAUUGUCUCUAGAUCUUCAAAGCAAUUACCGCUGCUCAUGACUCAAGAUCACGUGUUGAAUAGUUAACUUCUUAUGUCUUAAGCUGUCUUGAGGUAUCGGCAAUGACCUUUCCUCUUGCUUAAGAAUACAACCAAGCCCUUGGUUGUAUGCAUCGCAUUACACCACAAAAUAUUUUAUCCCCUUUUGGGAGGGAUAAUUUCGGUGCGGUGCACCAGGCUUACUUUAGCGUUUGGAAUGCUCUUUCUUGUUUACAGACAAGUUCGGUGCUCCUCAAGGUGAGAAACUUGGCCUAGAGAAUCCUCUUCUGAGGAGUUCAUUAAGAUGUCUGGGAAGUUCUAGUCUCUUAGUUGGAGUUAGACGAUGAGGUGAUUUGGCUACUGGGGUAGCCCUUGUAACUAAGUCGAUUCUGAACUCGAAUUGACGUUGUGGUGGUAAUCCCGGUAGUUCUUCUGGAAAGGUGUUGGGAAAGUCGCGUACUUUUGGGAUGUUCUGAAUGUCCUUCACUUCUUGACUCGUAUCGACGAUGUGUGCAAGGAAUGUGUGAUAUUCCCUUCGUAAGCGCUUUUGAGCUUAAAUACACGAAAUGAUGUGAAGGUUCGUACUUGAUUUGUCUCCGUAAAUAACAAGAGGUUCUUUGAAAGGGAGAUUAAGAUUAACUGCUUUAUCAAAGCACCUGAUGUCGGCUCGAUGUAGACUUAACUAACUCCUACUGAUUAUGAUGUCAAAACCUUGGGGGUGGAUUCGAUGCCGUGAAGAUCUAAAGAAAGUGUGACUACUUAUGAAUUAGGGAAAAGGAUAGGUAUUUCUAAGUUUAUUCUCACGGAAGCACCAUCACUCGCAGUCUUGGGCAGUCUCCGUCCUAAAGUUCAUAGUAGAACCCAUACCAGGUUCCUCAAUCACAGUCUCGGGUAUACGAGUCGUAUAUAAUUAAGAUUGAAAAGGUGGAUCUUUGGAUUGAACUUGACGUACUGAACAAGUGGUACUUCGGGGAGGUUUGCUGAGGUUUCUUUGGAAAGGGUAAGAUACAUGAGGUACUCUACGCAUGAGUACUUCAGAGUUAUGAAGUGAUAGUUUCGUUAGAAAGAUGAUUUCGGAGAAAGAGAUUUACGCACGAAACUGGUAUUGUGAGGAUCAAAUCGACUCUGAUCGUAUGAUGAAAUCAGAAUCACUUGGAAAUAAAGGCACUAGAUUUGAUCAUAAAGGCGUUACAGACAAAACACAACAGUGCAACUUUUUAACAGAGUUACAGUGUUUUCGAGUAACUACAGGAAUACUGCUACGAACAAAGUAUACUAUAAAAGGCAAGUAUACGCAGCACGAGGGUCCCUUAACUGAUGGGAUCUCGGUAGAGAUAAGACUUGAGUUGCACUAGUUUUAAACAAGUUUUAAAAACAUACAUAAUACUGACGAUUGGAAGUGAACCUAUACUAUAGUAGGGUCCUUCGUUGUCUCUUUCCAUUAUGAGGUCAAACUCCUCUGGGUUCACGAUCAUUCUCCUCUGUUGGACAGUCCCUCUUGAAGUGUCCCAUUACGCCACAUAGAUGGCAUAUUCGAGAGAUUUUCGAUAUUGGUGGUUGAAGUAAUGUGUUGGAUCCGAGUCUUGCAGUAACGGACGGUGUGUCCCUUUUUAUUGCAGUUUAAGCACUGCAUUUUCCGACAAAGUCCAUGAUGGUGAUAGUUGCAUUUGUUGCCCUUUGGGAGAUUGCCAGCAUACUGUCUGGACGGGUUAGGGAUAACUAGGAUACUAGAAGAGAUGGUAGUAGGAGGUACAGAAGUCAUGGCUGCGAAGGUUGCCACAUGUUGUUGUCUUUUGCUCGCCCCUUGGGGUGAUUUGCCUUUAGGCUUAGCCCAUAACUUUCGUUUGUUAUUCUUGGGCUUGGGAUUCUGGGUGUCGUGGUAGUUUGUUUCUCGUUGAGGUACUUGACUGUUACUUGGAUUGGAAUUAUUGUUAACAAUCCCGCUAACAUUCACGUUGUUAGCGUUAACGUGGGUUAGAACAGCUGACACAGCAGCCGAGACUGCAGCUUGAAAGGUAGCUGCAUCAAUCUGAAGAGUUGGUGUUUGGUAGAUGGGUUGAUCGUUUUUCUUUGGUGACAUGAUUCUGUUACAUGGAAAGAAAAAUGAAUUUGUGAGCGAGUAUGGUUGAACCUAGACGUAGUUCGAUCGUUCAUGUAAAUAAUAGAAGUAUGUUCUUGAAGGUUUGACCUACAUCCCUAUGAUGCAGUCCCAGUACGGAAUAGGAGUAUGUUUACGAAGGUGUGACCUACAUCCCUAUGAUGCAGUCCUAGUAUAGAUUGGAAGUAAACUAAUAGAAUGGUCUCAAAACUUUUAUCGUCCAAACCAGGGUAUUAUUGGUUGGUGGAUAACAGGAUCCAACUUUUGAAAGAGAAUUGGGAAUGAUCCCUGAGCUAAAUUACCUUAGUCCAAUAUCUUGACUAGAGUGGGUUUCAGAUAGAUCCAAAUGAAAGUACGAUGAAAGUAUUUGAACAAAGCGUGACACAUAAGUUUUUGGACUUUCAAUAUUGAUAUUCAUGACGUAAUAAGUUUGGGAAAAUUGAUCUUGAAGAAGGUCUUACAUCAUAUUCGGAGUAGAAAAGCCUUUGACAGCAUAAAGACUUAUCUAAAAGUAAUUACAGUACAAGGUAGUCACAUAGAAAUUACUACACAGAACAUAGACAGGAGCACGGUUCUUUAAAACAACGAAGGAAGUAAGGUAUCUUCUACUGGCGACGGUCACCCCUAUGGUGAACCCUUAGUUCCGCUAGUUGACGUUCCAUAUCAAGCAGGUAUAUCUCGUACACCCUCUGGCGUACUUGGAGCUCUAUGACUUCGGCUCGUGUUUCAGCCAGUGUCCGAAGUAGGGCUUCAUGGUCUCUCUUAGAGCUCUCACGAGCAUCUUUCAGACGAAUGGUGCGGAGGGUAUGCAUUCUCUCAUUGGUAUUAACAUCUGUGAUACGUUGGAGAGCCGUCCUGCCCUGAAUUUCGUUUCGGUCAACUCUAUGGAUUAGGAUUAGUAGAAAUUUGUCUGCUGAGCUCCCUUCAUUUACGUUGUAGAAGUUUCGGUCUCCAUUAAACGGCAUAGGUUGAUCUUGCUCUUGGCUCCAUGUUUCCAUGCAUUCUACCCAAGGAGGCGUCGGGCCAUGAAAAGUGGGACGAGGGUUAGGAUUUAGAAAUGGGGCUACCGGGGGUAGGUUCUCAACCUCGGGUUCGGAGUUAUCAACAUCCGAAAGGUUUUCAGCAUGGUGAUCAUUCAAAGGGAUUGAAUGAUCAUUCUCUGGUCCUUCUCCAAACCAUCCAGCAACGACUUCGUUCGAAAAGUACGGGUUGCCGUGGGGAUGGAGUCCAGCCAUGUUAUCUAUGCGAGAAUUGGGGUAAGGAAAUAAUUAUUAGACGAACUAUCUAGAUAAUUAUUAGAAAAUCUUCAUUAGUUACAUCGCUAUUUGUAAAGUGCAUAACAGUCAUAUGUAAUCAACACAUGAUAGGCUUUCGAAUAAGUGACCUUAACUCCAAAUUCACAAGGAAUAAGGGUAAAACAAAAUUUUCACCGAUUCUAAGUCUAUAACAUCCUAGUUACAUAUAGCCUUAGCAUAUCCACUUAGCAACUAUCAACUUAGUAAUGAAGAUCCUUUUUAGUUCUCAAGUAAGUAAUUAUAGUAACCCAAAACACACCUAUGGUAUUUUAGACUUAGGUUCUGUUAUAUUGUUUUGAUUGUGGUAAUGUUGGUAAGUUUUUAGACUUGUUGCCAUAUCACAACCAUUCUUGGGCAUAUGCUAAUCACUCUUCGGACCAACAUAGUUGAUCAGGCUAUGCCACUCCCAAGACUAACUAUACAUCCCCAAGCUUACUUGUGAUAUUCAACAAUCGUAAUACUUUUGUUCUUGUCGUUGUGACUCCGAUUUUAGUAUGAAUGCAGGCACGUAUACUUACUUAAAUAUUUUAUUAUUUAAAAGUAUAAACUCUAAAUCAGAGUAUUUUUAAUCCCUUUGUAUUUAUAGUUAGUAUAUCUUUUAUGGGUUGAUAUACUCAAUUCACUAUAAACAAUGCUCUGAUACCAAUCUGUCACGCCCCAAAACCGAGAACGGCGGAAAUGUUCUGGGGCAGAGGACAUCAUGUAAUGUAUCUCAACAAUGUAAAGUAGUAAACAAGAAACAACAUCAUCCAUUGCAUUAAUAGUAUAAUUUUGAUUACAAGUGUGUUCUUUCAUAGUAUAAAACAACAUAAAGAAUACUCAAAAUAAAAGACGAGUCUUGACCGCUCUGUCUUCUCCAUACCUUACAUCGGUACCUGUCUAUUUGUAACCUGAGAAUACAAGUUAUUUUGAAAGCGAGUAUCAGCAAUAAAGCUGGUGAACUCAUAAGUGUUUUAAUGUUAUUGCUUUGAAAAGUUGUUAUGAAAGACUGGUGAAUGUUUGAUGAAACAUUUAGUAUAAGUAUGAAAACCCUAGAAAAUCCCAUAUUUCCUACUAGUAUAGAAAGUAGUCUUCUACCAAGACCUGUAUGUUUUGAAUAUUUGUUUCUAAAAGUCCAACAUUUAUCCAUAAGUGUGUGGUAGUUUAAAAGUUCCAAAACUAUAACACAAUGAUGUUUUUCAUGCCUAAAUAAUAGAUUUAUGUAUGUAUAAAAUCGCCAAGGCACUUGGUGACUCUGUAAACCAAUAUAUUUUUAAUACCCACUAUGAGUCUUUUGUUGAAGUAAAACUGGUUAAAAGAGUGUUUAUCCCGAAUUGUGAACAUGCUUAUAAUAUCCCAUGGUGUAGUUAUUACCCCCUGAGCAUGAUUGAGUUAAAUGUAUGCCAUUUGGAAGUUUGUGUAUGUAUUUUUAGAAAAUCCGAUGUUUUCUUAUGAGUGUAUGAAAUGAAUAUGAAUGAUGGUUGUAUAAAUUGUAUGUAUUUGAACCAGGAAAAUCCCUUAUUUUCCUAAAAGUGAAAUAUAGUCUCAAAUGACCAAGACCGUAAGCUAUAAGCAACUAUGACAUGCUCAAAAGAAUGAUGUUGUAAAUCGUUAUUGUACAAAAUGAAUGUAUACGAACCAGGAAAGUCCUAUAUUUUCCUAAAUGUGAAAUGCAGUCUCAAAUUACCAAGACCGUAACCUGUAAGCAAUUAUGACAUGCUACAAAGAAGAUGUAUAGUUUUAUUGUAAAGUAAAACUAGUUGUGGAAGUGUUUAUCCAGAGUUUUUGAUUAUGCUGAUAAUACCUUAGAAUAUAGUUAUUACCCCUAAGCAUGAUUGAGUUAUGUAUUACUACGUGCUUGAGUCAUUNUAGUUAUUACCCCUAAGCAUGAUUGAGUUAUGUACUACUACGUGCUUGAGUCAUUCUUUCCGCGUGUUGUGAGUUCCUCAUAACCAUACUAGACGCAGUACCUAUGUUGACAUUUGUCACCCCUAAUGACGGACUGUAGCUAACAGUCAGGAUGCGGAGUUGUCAGCCCCGUAUAGAUCUAUACACACUUGUCAUGCUCACCCUCCAAGAGACUCUGGUUAUAGGUGGGGACUUUCGUUUGGUACAAACAAAGCCAUAUGACACCACAUGAUUGCUAACAAUGAGUUCACGAGUAAUAUGAUGAAAAAUCGUUUGUAUGAAAUGAUUUCCUUUUCUACCGUGUUACAAAGACAUGAUGAUGAGUUGAGUUUUCUUGUAAAAGCAUCAUGUUAUAGUUGAAAUGGUUACCCUUGAUAUGAUGUAGUAUGAAAACGUAUAAAUAAAAAAUAUUCCUAUUUAUAAAACAUAUUGUAUCCCAAGAGGGUAAAGUUGUGUUGUUAGGUAUUUUGCAUGAUAAUAACUUCAUAAAAUAGUUAAAACAAUAAUAUGAAAAGUAUUGCAAAAGAUCGAUGUUUCACAUGAUUUUAGUCCUGUGUUUACUUGUAUUCCCCCCCAUAAAAGUGUAUAAAAGCAUUUACAAAACAUUUGAAAACGUAGUUAUAGGGGUAUGAACUCACUUGAUUGAAGUGGUUGAUUUGAAGUAGUCGAGAGGAGAAUCGAGCAGAACUUCGAUAGGAAGAGUUGAAAACGCGGGAAAAUAUCGGGAUUCUCGUGAAUCUCGGGAAUCUUGGAAACACAAAACCUUCCUUUGGUACUUGAAGGUGAAAAACCGGGGUUUUGGGAGGGUCUCGGGGGCUUAAACGCAGAGUUUCGACGCGAGAAAGAAGGGAACUGAGCAAUGGAACUCGGAGCCCUUGAAAUCUAUUUAUAGGGGCAUUUUUGGGGUGUGCCACGUCGUGGCAAGUGAUGGCGACGUCGUGGGGAGUCAAAAUUAUCCUCUUCCAUUGAUUGGACACCCUCAGUCACUUGCCGGGUCGCGGCAAGCUUGUGCCACAUCGUGGCAAGCCUGAUAGCCUCGAAUUUCGGGCCUCGAACUUGUAAAAUCCAUAACUUUCGCGUACGAGCCCCAUUUUCGACGUUCUUUAUAUGCACGCAUAGCUAAAAAUAUGAUCUACAACUCUCGUUUAGACUUCAUCGGAAAAUUUUGAAUUUAUUUUGAAUUAUUUAUUUUUAACGGGUCGAGACACGAAAAGUCCGUUAAAAUUCCAUAACUUCUUCAUCCGAUGUCCGUUUUCGUCAGACUUUUCGCCGUUGCGCUACUAUUAUUGAGACCUUCGAUUCUCAUUUGGUAUGUUUUGGCCAAAAGUCUCUCAAGCUCUAUUUCGAGUUUUUAGCUGCCUACCGCUAUAUCCGGAUCUUGGAAAAAUCAUAACUUCCUCAUACGAAGUAAGAUUUGGACGUUUUUUUUAUGUACGCUCACGGUUUAAUGAUAUAUAAAACUUUUAUUUUGAUAACUAAGGCUAAAAAUUAUUGUAUUGAUACGAUUCCUACCACUUUAUUUAACCCAAAUAAGAUUUUAGGAAAGUUAUAUUUUGACCUAAAUUUGACUGGUGUUACAUUACAUUGUCUCGAAAUAUCGGGUUGUCACAAUUUAUAAUUUUUUACUAUAAUAACUAAAAGUUAUGUAAUCCUAAAAUAUUAUCAUCUAAGUUUUGAAAAUAUCCUAGGGUUUCUUGGGUUCUUUUUUGAUGUUCUUAGUUAUAAGUUCGAUAGAGAAAAUAUAGAUCCAAUAUUGGUUGCAUGCAAACUUAAUAGUUUUAUUUUUUCUGUUUACCUAAAUCCCGUCAGUGGUAUCAGAGCGUUUGGUUUGUUUUCUGUUGAAUAGCUAUAAUAGAAGAAUAGAUCAAUUAGCGUUUAUUGAAAUGAAACCCUAAAAGACCAUAAUUUCAUCAAUGGCUAGGGAUUUAGAAACAUUAGCCUCCACCCAUUGGAUUUUGAAAUUUAGGGCUAGGGUUUUGAAACCUUAGCCUUCCUCCCCAAGUAUUUUCAAAAUAUGGUAGGUUAAUAGGGUUUCCAUAUUUUAGAGAAUUGUUAGUUUAAUUGGAUUAAAAGUGAUAAUUAUAAAAUUGGAUAAAUCAUAUACCCUAAUUUUUGAAAAUUAGAGGGUAAGGAUUAGGAUUAAAUUAAUUGAUUAAUUUAAUUUGAUAAUCCUUAUUUGAUUUAAUAUAUUUAAUUAAUUGCUAGUUAAAGGAUAAUAAUUAAAUAAUUUAUAUUUUAUAUUUAAUUCAUUAAAAAUUAAUUUCAAAAUUUAAAAUAUAAAACCUAGUAUUUUAAAAAGUUUAAAAUACACCUUAUACUAUAUGUAAUAUUAAAAGUUUAAUUAUUAUUAUAUGUAUAAGACUAAGUCAGUCAAAUUGCUAGUACGCCUUAUUCACGAAGCUAGUCUAUAAGGGGGUAUAAGGAAACCACUUAUAAAAUGGUAGUUGAAUGGUUGUCCACACUCACCCACCGCUUUCUUGAUUAGUGGAGGGUCGUUAGCAUAUCAGAUUUGAUAGACAAAUUAACCCUCAUUAAAAGUAUAAUGAUAUUAAAAAGUACUAGAACCUUUUUCCAUUAAAAUUCCAAAUCUAGCUAGUUUAGGAAAAAAGUGAAUUUGUAUGCUAACCCAUGAAAUUGCACAUUACACUUUACAAGUCGUUGGUGGAGUGUGUGUGGUUAACCAACACACUUAUAGGGACUAAUAAAGAGUUAUAUUGGGUAUCUCAUAAAUUAUCAUUGUUGAUGGAGCGUGCGUGGUUUACCAACACAUCAGUUGGGUUGAUAAAUGAUAACGAGGUUACCAAGCACAUUUUCAUGGUUAUUUAACUCUUGUUUGUGAUCAUCAGUAUCCUAGUCACAAAUAGAAGAGCAUAACCUGAGAUUAAACAUGCUAUUAAAUAGUUUCAAUGAAUCUCAAAAAAUCUAGGAAUUUUACUUAACUUAAUUUCUUUUAAAAUUUGUUUUUUAUUGGUGGAAUUGGUAAUCGUCAUUUACCUACCUUUAUAAAAUUUACAAUUAGAUCACGGCAUCUCUUUUCUAAUUUGUGAAUUAUAUAGUUGGAUCCUAGCCUUCCUAUAUUAAGGAUUAUACUUAUCUAACUAAAACUACCUUCCUAUUUCAGAUGUCCACUCCAUAUUUUGCUUUUGGUUCCUCCUCUUCCCGCCACAACUUCUCGUCGUUGUCCAUAUGCUCAAAGGUGACAUUGGAUGGCACCAAUUACAAUGAAUGGAUGCGUAAUAUCAAAAUGGCCCUUCAUUUCGAGGACAAGGAGUAUGUCCUUGAGAAAGAAAUAACCGAAAUUAAUGAAGAGAAGGCCAGUCCUGAAAAAUUAGUUGCCUACAAAAGGCACUACGAUGAUGCAAAAAAAAGUUGCUUGCAUCAUGGUAGCCGCCAUGACUCCUAAGAUGCAAACAUUUUGUGAAGACUACUGGCCAUAUGAGAUGAAGAAGGACCUUGAUGAGGAACCGGCUAUUAACAUAGUCCUAAACUCCAUACCAAGUUGUUAUGAUCAGUUCAUUCGAUCUUAUCAUUUGAACAAAAAAGAGACCACCUUGGCUUAGUUGCACAACCUUUUGUUAAUAGUUUAAGUAUGCAUUAAGGAAAAACGUAUUAUCUCCACUCCUGCUAGUGCUCCUAUCCUAGCCAUUAAUGAAGGAAAGGGUAAAAAGAGGAAAGGUCCUCCCAGGCAAAAGAAGAAAAGAAAGUGUCAUGCAGGGUCAUCUAGUAGUGGCCCUAAAGGAAAGUCUAAUUCUGAUCAUCCAUUCUCUUCUGAUCCCAAAGAGGCUAUUUUCUUUUACUGCAACGACAAGUGGCAUUAGAAAAGAAGCUCCCUGGCAUAUUUACAAGAUAUCAAAGAUGGAAAAGUGAAGCCAACUUUUGCAUGUAUGUACAUUAUUUCACUAAAUAAGUCAUCAUCUUCUCGUUCUUGGGUCCUUGAUAUAGGAUGUGGAUUUCACAUUUGUUCUGAUUUGCAGGGGCUAAGAAGAAGUGGGGAGGUGGAGCACGGUAGAAAGAGCUUGAUCAUGGGGAAUAGGCGAUCUUCACCUGUCACCAUGAUGGGAGUUUAUGGACUAGUGCGUAGUAGUGUUUGUUUAGAUUUAAUAAAUUGGUACUACUCGUCAGAAAUGACACAUAACAUUAUUUCCUUUCAUGUAUUGUUCAGACAAGGUUUUAGAUAUUCUUUUAAUGAAUUGAAUGACUCUAUUUAUUUUUAUAAAAAUAGUGUUUUUUAUUUUGAAGCUUUACCUUCUGAUGGUGUGAAUGAAACUGUGACGUGUGUAGACAUAUUAGGCAAUAGUGUAUUUAAAAUUGAUUCGUCUAAUGGCAGAAAUAAAGCAUCCUUGUAACAUUGUUGUUUUGGACACAUCAACAAGAAACACAUUUUCCAACUUCAAAAGGAUGGAUUGUUGGAAUCAUUUUACCUAAGGUCAAAUGAUGCAUGCAAAUCUUGUCUUUUCGAUAAAAUGAUAAAAUCGCCAUUCACUGGAUCUUGUGAAAGAGGUGAAGGUCUAUUGGAUCUCAUACACACAGAUGUGUGUGUACCCUUCAGAUCAUCCACAAGUGAUGCUAAUCGAUUAUAUGUGACUUUUACUAAGGAUUAUAGUAGAUAUGGUCAUAUAUACUUAAUUAAGCAUAAGUUAAAAACCUUUGAAAAGUUCAAAGACUUUAAACAUGAAGUCGCGAAUCAAUUGGUGACGAAGAUAAAGAUGCCCCGAUUAGACAGAGACAUGGGGUAUCUUAGUAUCGAGUUCCAUGAUUACCUUAACGAUUGUGGAAUACUUUCACAAUUGACCCCUCCUAAGACACCACAACUUAAUAGUGUGGCUGAGAGACGCAAUUGCACCUUGUUAGACAUGGUUCAUUCCAUGAUGAUUCAAGCUUCUCUUCAAAUUUCACUCUGGGGGUACACCUUAGAGACCGCCACCCAUAUUCUUAAUCUUCUCCCAACCAAGAAGCUUUCCAAAACACCUCAUGAGAUGUGAAUAUGGGAAAGUUCCCUCGUUAGCACAUAUCAAGGUUUGGGGUUGUGAAGAUUUUGUUAGUAGAGUGAAUCAUAACAAGCUUAAACCUCGAAGUGAGAGAUGUAUUUUCAUUGUAUACCCACAGAAGUCCAUUGGAUAUUUGUUCUAAAGGCUAGUGAGAUUGUUGUCUUUGUAACAAGAAGAAAAGUCUUUCAUAAGAGAGAGAGAUCAUAUACAAAGAGGACAAUAGGAGUACCAUUGACCUUGAAGAGAUUCAAGAUUAACCCAAUGAAGGAACCUUUAAAGACGCUAGGGUUCAACCUGAGGAAGAGAUUCCAGUUGAAACAGUUGAAAUUUUGUUACCUCUCUGUCGCUCUAGUAGAGUUAGCAUGUCACUUGAGUUCUACGGUUUCCACAUAACUACAGAUGGUGAUACAGUUAUCAGUUACAGUAUACUGGAAAAUUUGGAUAAAUCUUCUAACUACAAGGAAGAAAUGGCAGGCCCUGAGGCAGCCAAAUGGAAAGAGGCAAUAGAUAGCGAUAUCAAGUCCAUGUAUAACAACAAAGUUUUGGAAUUUGGUUGAUAAUGUACCAAGUCGAAAGACAGUUCGGUGCAAAUGGAUAUUCAAGAAAAAGAACGACAUGGAUGGAAAGGUACACACUUUCGAGGCUCGAUUAGUUGCGAAGGGUUUUACUCAAACCCUGGGAGUUGAUUCUGAUGAAACUUUCUCACCAGUUGCCAAGAUAAAAACUAUUUGGAUAAUGCUCACCAUAGCUGCAUUUUAUGACUAUGAAAUUUCGUAGAUAGAUGUCAAAACUGCUGUCUUUAAUGGGAAGUUGGUUGAGGAUGUUUAAAUGAAUCAGCCAGAGGGUUUUGUAAAUACAAAGUAUCCAAAUGGGGCAUGCAAGCUUGGGAAAUCAAUCUAUAGAAUGAAACAAGCAUCUUGCAGAUGGAAUGUUUGUUUCAAAGAGAAAGUCAAUUAGUUUGGUAUCUCUAUCAGUGAAGAUGAGUCAUGUGUAUGAUUUAAAGCUAGUAGGAGUAUGGUAACCUUCAUAGUAUUGUAUGUUGAUGCCAUUCAUCUAUAGGAGACGACAUUCCAACUUUGCAAGAGGUUAAUUUUGGUUAGGAAAGUGUUUUGAUACGAAGGACCUAGGUGAGGCUGUGUAUACGGUUAUCAGUUAUAGUAUACUGGCAAAUUUGGAUAAAUCUUCUAACUGCAAGGAAGAAAUGGCAGGCCCUGAGGCAGCCAAAUGGAAAGAGGCAAUACAUAGCGAUAUCAAGUCCAUGUAUAACAACAAAGUUUUGGACUUUGGUUGAUAAUGUACCAAGUCGAAAGACAGUUCGGUGCAAAUGGAUAUUAAAGAAAAAGAACGACAUGGAUGGAAAGGUACACACUUUCGAGGCUCGACUAGUUGCGAAGGGUUUUACUCAAACCCCGGGAGUUGAUUCUGAUGAAACUUUCUCACCAGUUGCCAAGAUAAAAACUAUUUGGAUAAUGCUCACCAUAGCUGCAUUUUAUGACUAUGAAAUUUCGCAGAUAGAUGUCAAAACUGCUUUCUUUAAUGGGAAGUUGGUUGAGGAUGUUUACAUGAAUCAGCCAGAGGGUUUCGUAAAUACAAAGUAUCCAAAUAGGGCGUGCAAGCUUGGGAAAUCAAUCUAUAGAUUGAAACAAGCAUCUUGCAGAUGGAAUGUUUGUUUCAAAGAGAAAGUCAAUGAGUUUGGUAUCUCUAGCAGCGAAGAUGAGCAUGCGUAUAUUUUAAAGCUAGUAGGAGUAUGGUAACCUUCAUAGUAUUGUAUGUUGAUGCCAUUCAUCUAUAGGAGAUGACAUUCCAACUUUGCAAGAGGUUAAUUUUGGUUAGGAAAGUGUUUCGAUACGAAGGACCUAGGUGAGGCUGUGUAUAUUUUAGGGAUAAGAAUUCUAAGGAAUAGGAGUAAAAGACUACUUGGACUUAGUCAAAGUACAUACUCGGAAAGGGUGCUAAAACAUUUAAGUAUUGAAAAUUCCAAGAAAUGAGAACUGCCCAUCCAAAGUAUUACCAAACUAAGUAAGACUCAAGGUGAGUAUUGAUGCAAAGAUAGCAGAAAUGAGUCGGAUUCCAUACGCUUUGCCUAUUGGAUCAAUCAUGUAUGCUAUGACAUGUACUCACCCUAACGUAUCUAUUGCUUUGAGCACGGUCAGUCGUUAUCAGUGGAAUCCAUGAAAAGCUUGUUGGAUAGAAAUUAAGAAUAUUCUCAAGUUUAUGUAAAGGACUAAGGACCGGGUCCUAGUACUUGGUGGCAGUGAAACACUGAGAGCAAAUCCGUAUAGUGACGCCAACUUUCAAACGGAUAGAGACAACUUCCAUCCUCAAUUUAGUUGGGUGUUUACUUUAAAUGGAGGAGAAGCUACUCGGAAAGGUUCCAAGAAGAGACAAUGAUUGAUUCUAGUUGUGAAUCAGAGUACAUAGUGGCAAGUGAAGCAUCAAAGGAAGAAAUUUGGAUGAAGAACUUCAUCGGAGAUCUUGGGGUUAUUCCAACCAUAGAAGAGUCAAUAGAACUUUUCUCUGCUAACGAGGGAGCAGUUUCCUUGACAAUGGAACCAGGAUAUUACGGAAGAUCAAGACAUAUUGACAGAAAGUAACAUUUCGUCAGACAUAAAGUAGAAGAAGGUCACCUCAUUGUGAAGAGAAUAUCAUCUAAAGAGAAUCCUCCAGAUCCACUCAUAAAGGGUCUGAGUAAGGCUAAACACAUUCAGCAUGCCCGAAGCAUAGGUGUGACAGAUUAUAUUAGUUUUAGUAGUUAGAUAGUUAGAUUGAAACUUGUAACAAAGUAAAUGUAAUUGACUUUUGGUGAUUAAAUAAUAGAGGAUUAUUUAGGAGGUUCUUUACUACCUUUUGUUAAUAGUUUAUUCUUGUGUUUCAUUUUGCAUGUUUUACUUCCAUAAGAAUAUGAAUAAUCAAAAUUCCAUAGCCUGUUGUACUUUUGGAAGUAAGUAGUGAAUUAAGAUUGUCAUGAACUAGAUUGUACAUUGUCUAAGGAGCUAGACAUAGCAAUAGUAUUGAUGCAACAUUCAUGAGUACUUAGAAAUGGAGAUUUAUGUAUUGGAUUAAUCCACGCUUAGAGAAUUACUUAAUAGAAUUUAUCACGAGUAAUUCUGAUAUAAUAAUAUCUUCUAAUCUUAAAAGGGAGAUAUAUGAGUUGUAGUUUACACUUUGUUUGUGCAUUGAUAACAUGUAAACGCAUCAGUAACUUGAUGUUAUAAAACUUAUUAUAAUGCGUGAUAUGAUGAGUAAAUGGUGCAAGCAUAUAAUUCAAAGUUUAUUCAUUAAUUUCACCCUAAUGAGAAAAGAAAUAUCUUUGGGCUCCUCGGUAAUUUGGUGUUGACUUAUAGUGUCGGGCCUAGCCAGGACUAAAUUGAUGUGUUCAAUUAGAAGUAACAUGUCAUUACACAUCAGAAAUCGAGAAACAAAGUCUUGGAUAAUAAGAUUGAUUAUAUUCCAUGUAUCGUGUUCGAAUGAUAUCAUGAAAAAAGGAGGAUUACAUGAUCACCUAUCUUAGGAUAGAGUUCGACAGUGGCUUUUGGAAGCUACAAUUUGCUGUUCGUUUCAGAAUUUAUACUGGAAAUUAUAGUUAUAGACUUAUCUAAGUGGGAGACUGUAGGAUUAGGUGUCUAAGCCCAUUACUCUAAUUGGAAUAUACUUGAAUUGAUAAUAGCAUAGUCCUUUUGGGUUGCUUGAAACCUAGCAAUUGGACAUGAUGCAUUUGAGAGAGAGAGAGAGAGAGAGAGAGAGAGAGAUUAAUUUAUUAUGUGAAUAAUAAAUUAAAUAAAUGAUUUUUAAUGUGUUAUGAAAAUAAUAUAUUAAUUAGAAAUCCUAUUAAUUAUAUAAUAAUUCAUGAGAAAAUAAUUGGAAUUAAUUGGAUAAAUUAAAAGUAUAGGGACAGUUUGGUUAUUUAUUGAUAGUUUAGCAAUGAAGGCUCUAGAACCUCAUGGAAUGACGUGGAUGAAAGUCUCUAGGGAAAGCCUAAGAGAUUUCGCCCAAGGCCCUUUGGAUAAGGGGAUUAGGCUUCUUGGUCAACAAGCAAGGGAAUCUAGGGCUUAUCCCUUAAACCCUAGCUUUGGCUCCAAGUAUCUUGAACUAUAUAACGACUCUCUAACCCCUUGUUUUCGCCACCCCUUACCUCUAGAAGCCUUAGACGAAAUUUGUUUCUCCACUCUCUUGUCUCUUAAAUUAUCCUCUUACCAGCUCGGGUGUGGUUCCACUAAAGGCAUGACAUGUGGUUCUAGCUUCCAAGAGAACUUCAAAGGGGAUUUCUAGUUGUUUUCUAUAACAACUAAACGGUAUGUAAUCCUAAAAUCUUCUCAUGUAAAUUUCAAAAAUAACCUAGGGUUUCUAAGAUUCUUUUUGAUUUUCUUAGUUAUAGGUUCAAUAGAGAAAACAUAGAUCCUAUUUAGGUUGCAUGCAAACUUAAGACUAUUUAAGAUAAACAAUUUUGAUAAAAGUCAUAGGAAAAACAUCUCAAAGUCCCAUUAAAAUGCUCAGAAGUCUGCAAAAAGCAGACUCUAAAGAUUAGAGAGCUUUUAGAGGCUUUUAGGCCAUUAAAUAAUUUAAUGUAAGGGUUGUAAAGAGUAGUUGAUGUUUAUGUUUCUAUAUCGGUUAUGACAUCCCAAACUUUUAAAUUAUAAUGAAAAACAUUUUUUUGUAAAUUCUUUGAUAUUGACAUUAAAUUACAUUAAUAAUGUUUUGGGACAAAUUCGGCAUUAAUAAAAGAAUAAUCUAUUUUAAAAAAGCAUUAAGAAAACGUUUGUAAUUAGCCGAAAAAUUAGGGAUGUCACACCUCUGAUAAAAAUCUACUCAUGUAGUGUUGUGUUUUCCAAACUAAUCCCAGAACUCUUUGCUCUGUGUUGCGAAGCUGGCAUUUUGUUGAAAUAAACAAAAUGUGUCACCAUCUAACAACAAGAGCUUUCAUUACACUAGUUUCUAUCUAUUUGUCCAUUGGUUCCCCUAGUCACCAUUCUCAACCAAAUGAUCGAUUGCUAUAAUAAUGCACAAGCACCAUUUGAGUAUACUCACUACUUCACACUCAACUCCUUGGGUUCCUUGUGACUUUUCUUGUCUCAAUGGUGGAUACUAUGCUUCCGAUAGUAUAAUCUCUACUAAUAUCCUCCGCACCUAACAACUUGAAGUGACCAAAUCGCUUCUCUCCGACAGUUCUAAUAUCAAUAUAUGUUUCUCUUGGAACAAUGCAAGCAACAUUCAAGUUGUUAGUCUAGUAGGGAAUUCUAUCAAAUCCACUCGAUACUUGCAUUUGCUAGAUUUUUUGUAGAUCCAUAGGAAUCACCUUUACCGUGCUACUCUACAUGACAUGGAGUCUCCACGAGUCCUGACGUGUUGUCUCGUGAAUGCACAAAUCGUAUACAAUGUAAAAUUAGAUAGUCAUUCUAAUAAAAGAUUAUGCACCAGAACAGUUGGACUCAAAUGAGAGAUAAGUAAUAGGCUAAAUCAUGCAUUCUAAGUCUAUUUAGCUCCUAUUACAUACAACAUAAGGCUUCCACUUAACAACCUAUCAGUACUAGCAUAAAUUCCAAAUAGUACACAUAACAGGCAUCUAACAUAGCAUGAGAAAAAUUAGGCAAUCUAGCAUAUAUACACCUUAUGUCAUAGAAAACAAUAAAUAAGAUUUGAACACUUUCCCUUUUCCCUCUAGCACCGGCUUACUAUACACACUACGCUUGAGAUCGUUUUCUCAAAACUAUUUCAUUUAAUUUCAUAAAAAAUAUAUUUUGAAAAUAACUCUCUAGCCACGAAUUUUAGUUUAGAACUCACCAAGGUGAGUCUAAUUCUCUCAAGUUGUGCUUUGAUACUAACUUGCAACAUCCUAAAAUUCCAAGUAAAUUUGAAGUUUUUAAAUUAACAUAAAUCAUCCACUUAAUAUCCCCAAGAAUAAUUCAAUUUCCAAAAAUUACUAUCACUUAAAACUCUAAUAUUUAUGAAAACUUAAUGAAUCCAAUAACAUAAUUCCAAUAACCCACCUCGAGCUAGUGUAUAAAUCAUGUCUUGCCAUCUCGUGUAGCUGAAAUAAUAUUUUUAAAAGGAAAAGGGGUAAGCAUAAAGCUUAGUGAAUUUCACACAUAUAGAAAAUCAUAUCAUAAAAGUUUUACCCAUAUACACAGAUACAACGGUAUCAUUCACAUUACCACAUAUUCAUGUCAAAGAAUAAAUAUGAAACAAACAAACUCAUAUUCGGAAACAUUGGCUAGGCCCGAUCCCAUUUGCUCGGUACAUAGAGCAUUUGAGACACAUUAGCUAUGCUCGAUCCCCUAUACCUAAACCCAUUGGGACACAUUGGUCAUACCUGAUCCCCUUUGCUGAGUUCGUUGAACCUUUUAGACACAUUAGCUACACCCGAUCCCCCACUCGGAAAGGUUGUGUCAUACCAUGCAUGAUCCUUAAUAAUGAGGGAAUACCAUACUUAUACUAGACUCUAACCCUGGCUAGUGCUACCCACAUAAACAAUAGAUAUCACACACGAGCUAAUGUAAAGAAUGCAUAAUAGCACACAGUGUAGCAAAAAACUCACCUCAAGUAGCAUGUUCAACCUCCAAACAUAGCCCAAGACACACUCACACUAGGUCACCCAUCAAUCCUUCUAAGAAUAGAAAUCAAGGUUAGAUAUGGAUAUCCCUUCACUCUAAACAUAUAAUUAGACUACUAGGAUACACUUAUAAAUUUUAACCCAAAACAUUAUCAUUAUCAAGACCCAUUUUUCCCCCCUUAAACCCAUCCUAACCAGGUUAUAAAACCAUUUUCAUGAAGUUCAGAUCAACACCUUUUCAUACUUAUACAUGUUCAUACAAAAUUUUCUUCGAUUUUCUGUGGUUUUACAACACUGCAUAUCAAUGCAUCUAAUUCCACACCAGUCUUUGAAAAUGAUGAUUUUCACCUUAGUUAGAGCUAGCAUCAAGGCACAAAAAAAAAAUCAGAGACAUACUAGACUCAAAAUUUGAACUUUGAGAAUUUAUAGAUUCUAAAUUCGAAUCCUGAUGAUUUUUAUAGAAUUUUUUUCAAAAUAGGUAAAAAAAUAGAUAGUCUCAUAAAGUUACAACUUUGUCUUUUAAUGGUUAGUUAACAUCUUAACCCAUUAAGCACUUAUGCAAAAUACAUUCUUUGACGAAAAAUAAUCUACUUUACAACCAAUACAUGUCUUCAUGAAUUAGUGGCCUAUAGAUGCUUCAAAAAAACACCAAACUAAAGUAUGAUGCCAUAAUGGUAAAAUCGCCAUUUUUAGGGUUCAUGCUUUCAUCCAAUAAUCCCACGGUACAAAGGCUUGCAUCAAAAAGCACCACCCACUGCCACCCUAGCAUGAUGCCCAAUAGUGGUAGAAGACGGUGACCAUGGACAACAUAAAUGGAUGUAAGCAGCGGUGAUGGUAGUUCUUGGUGAAUAAAAAGGAAAAUAAGGGAAGACAGAGAUGGAGAACACACUUACCUCAAGACUACACAACAAUCACUACCCAACCUUCCCUCCUUUCCUUCACCGACACUAAGAAAUCUAGUAGCCCACUCUCCCUGGUGAUAUCUUCCUUUUUCUUGGCCCCCUCUUGAUCCCACUCUCUCAGUUUGUUUCUUCUUUAUAUGCCGCACAAAACACAUGAAGACAAACUCACCAUCUAGAGUUGGGCUACUAAGUUCAGAUAUGUGGGUUUAAUGAAUUUUAGAAUGGUCAACCAAAUAAUUUUUUUUUUCCAAAUAGAGCCCCGUACAUAAUAAAGCUCCAUGGAUAAUAUCUCAUAUUUACACUUUACUGUAAUUAACUAUUUAGCCCCUCCACCCAAAGUAUUUCCACUUUAAGUUUUUUAAAAACUCCAAUUUAGUCCCUCAAACUUUUUUAAAUAAAAAUAAUGAAUUUCCAAUAAUUAAAGUCAUUAAAAUACUAAAAUAUUAUUAUAUUGAAAAAAGAGAUGUUAUACACAAAGAGAGAAUGCAUAAAGCGGUGUUUUACAUCAUAAUCUAGUGUAACUCAUAUACUAGGUUGGCGACUAUCCUAGAAUUAAAUCCAUUUAUAUCAAGGAUAAUAAUACAAAGAUAACUACCAUUUAUAAAAUAUAUAUACUUAAAAAAAGAUCUUAUCACUAAGAUAAUUGAUCAAUAACUUAAAGCAAAAGAAGCAUAUCACGUUGUAGAGAGACAUUGUUGGUGGAUGAUGACACUAAUGAAUGAGUAAGUGUGACAUAGGUUUGACUCACUAGAUUAUAAAUUUUGACCUUACAAGGAGCUUUAUCCCCUUCUUAUUCAUAUUCCCAAGUCUAUUGUGCCAUAGAGUGGAUGCCCCAGCUUCUUCAACAAUGUGUGCUUCAACAUCAGAAACUUCCACCCUAUUAAGUGUACCGCACUUUUGACCUCUAGCAACAACUAAGAUUCCAUUUGUCAACUUUCAUUGAUGAUUACCAAGUGUAAAAUGGUGAAACUCGUUAUCAAGUGUUCGUUUUGAUAUUAGCAUCCUUUCUUAGUCUAGAAUAAACUUGACAAUCUUUAAAGUCUAAUCCGUACCUAAAGUUGUCUUAAGGACCACAUCCCUAACACUAGUAAUAUACCGACUCUUAUUAUAUGCUAAUCUUACCUGUCAUUUGUAGUAUCAAAUAUUCUACAUUACAUAUAUAGAAAGAAUAAUAUGAAAGAAUGUACCCAAAUCCAUGACCCAAGAAUCAAUUGAGUUUUCGACACAAUAUGUAACAUCUUGAAAAUCAAGAUAUAAAAUUUUUUAUUUAUUGAUUAAUAAAUCGUUAAUACAGAUUGUUUUCAUAAAACCAUAGUAACCCAUAAUUAGAAAAACAUCAUUAAACCAGAGUAAUUCACAGAAUGCGGAAAUAUGUGUGUGCGCUCUAUAAUCAUCUCGUGCUCUUCCAUUUGAAAAUCGGAGUACCUAAAACAUAAGCGGAAAACUGUAAGCAGAAAGCUUAGUGAUUUACCCAAAAUACCAUGCCACAUACGACCACAGGUUAUCAUGCACAUACAUAUAGUUGCCAUGGGCUCCCCCCAUGGUCUUUAUCAGUUAUGCCAUGGGCUCCACCCAUGCUCUUUACCUGGAAUGCCAUGGGCUUUCCCCCCAUGAUCUGACAUCCAAAUGCCAUGCCCCCACCCCCAGGGGUCUUCCAUGCAAGUAUCACAAAGAUAACUAGCAUACCACAUAACAUGUAAUGGGCCAGCAUUGGUGCCUUCUACCCAUAGAUAUAGUGAGAAGACUCACCACGAAUGUAAAAGCUCACUGAAAGGAAUCCCUAGCCGCAUCCAUGACGACACCUCCAAACUAUCAUAUCAAAACAACACGCAAUUAGCAAUUAGGUUCCUUUCAAAGUCUCACUAUCCAUACUUGAGGUAAAAUAGCCAUUUUACCCCUGACCCAACGUGAACCAAAACUGAGGUCCAAAACCAAAAGAUCACAAAGGCCCACUAAUGGCCAAACCCAUAUGUGCCUUAGCCUAAGCCCAUAAUUUCCUUAGCUAUAAUUCAGAUUACCUCAAGUACCCCCAUAGGACAAACUUGGUCAAGGACAAAAGUUGAAAGUCAUGAUCAACAAUCCUUGUUGACCCAACAUGUCGAGUUGUUGUUCAACUCACCAUGUUUCUCCAUCAACUUUGAAACAGAUAAAAUUAAACCAGUAGGCCAAGUUUACCAACAAACUCACGAAGUUUACCCCAGACCCAACAACUUAAUAUAUUAGGCUGCUUUCAUCGAAUCCAAGAGCUCUAAACCUUAAAUAUUGACCAAACUGAGAUCUAGAAGGGUAAAGUUACAAACUUUACCCCUAGGAACCACCAAAAUGGGUCAAACCCAAACCUUUGACUUCAAAAGUGUGAGGGAUUAACCAAUAAGCACUUAAUCUUCAAAGACAAAACCAUGAAAUACAGAUCAGACAAACUAUAUUUGGAAAAUAAUGUAAAGUGGCCAACUUUACAUUCAUGUAUGCCUAGGAGAAGCCUAAUUUCUCAAGAAGGGCUUAAAAAUGGACUUAAUGAAUGCAUGAAACCCUUAAAUCCAUCAAGUUGGCACCUUUAUGAUAAAAGAGUCCAUGAAAACCCCAGAUCUAAAAGAAUAAUGCUUUUGCACGUCCUAAUCCCAACAUUCAUCCAAACCAUGGCUAAAACAUGACAGUUUAACCCAAAAGAUAGAUCUAAGCAUUUAGCAAUCAAGAUAAGAACUUGAUACCUCAAACUCCUUGCAAAGUGGAUAAUGAUUAUGGAUCCAAGACUUCCUUCUCCAAGCUAAGAACUUCAAGAUCUUCUAACUCCUUCACAAUGCACAAAAAGGACCACCAAACUUUCUUCCAAGGCUCAAAUGCUUGACAAUGGAGGCUACAACUUGUUUUAGGGUUUUGACAACAAUGGAAGCUAAUAAGGAGGCCAUCCAAAGGAACUUAAGGCCUUUAAAUAGGGUGCAACGCCUGAAAAACUAGGGUUUCCUUCCCAGUAGCCAACAUGCCGAGUUGAGGUACCUCAACUCGUCGUGUUGGUUCAUUUAAUCCCUACGAUUCUUCCAUCCUAAACACAUUGAUUUGGUUCCUACAACUCGAUGUGUUCAACUCGAAUUAGGAUUAUUCUCAAAAACUUCUCCUCAAGAUUUUGGGUGUCACAACUCUCCCCCACUUAAAUUAGAUUUCGUCCUCGAAGUCCAUCCUUAAUUUUCUCAAUACUCCAAACAAUCUGAGCAACACCACCAUAAUCCGAAAAUACUACAGUCUUCCCAAGGCAACUGAAACCAACCCUAACAGAACUUACCAAACCUGAAGAAGAACUGACCUUAACCCCUUGCAGAACACCACCUCUAUCUUUCCUGAAACUCGAAAUCUCAUAUUGAUAUGACUUCCUGACAGUUCGCCCACACUGAACCACUAUCAAACCAAUUCCAUAUGAAAACUAGACCAAGCAAAAUACUUUCAACCCACGUCAUCUUGAUCCUUCCACAGGAAGAAAGUUACUGACCACAUACAGCUGCAGAAUAAUUACACUUAACAGAAAGCUCAGAUAAUCCUUCAAGAAGAAGAUUCCUCCCUACAACGGUUUGACCCAAACAAGAGCUAUGCAACAGGGUCCAAUCAACCACUUUGAGAUUAUUUAAUCCAACUACGAGUGACAUAACAUAUAACCCGAAAUACAAGUGUCUCCUCACACGAAGCUCAAAUCACUGAAACCACUCCGACUCGUCUUGCUACCACCUUUCUAUUUCCCAAAGGCUGUCGAGACCUCCCUGGUCCCAACUUGUCUACAAACUAACUGAAAUCACUGAAAUUCUACCUGAUUGUUGAGCUAAAGGACAUACAAACACACAGUAGCCCCAUGCGACUUCCAAGAACAACCAUAUCUGGCGAUAAUACCCCAAACCACAUUGAUACCAAACCUACUGCUAAAAGAAUUCCACUAGACCAACUGUAGUUUCAUAACAUACUCGGUCUCUAACGACCUACCUUCCCCUGAUUCCAAAAACACUGAGGUGCUCUCGUAGACAGAACCAACUUAAGACACAACACAACAGCUCGAUUGCUAUUAAAACUAAAGCCAUUCAUUAUCCUUGAACCCUGCGAUUGAUGCCCUUGGCAUAUAGAUACCCCAAUUCUUAUUCAAGUGAAAUGAAAUCCUACACAACAUACACGCGAUAAUUGACUCAAGAUCUUACCCAAAAGCAAUUCAAUACUCCACUCACAACUUAAGAUUCACAAAUCUACACUUGUAUCUCACACCACAACCUUCUGAUUCUUGAAACCCUUCACCUUACCGAUAUAUAAUUACUCCUAAACCAUCUCCAAGACUACCAGUCUCGCACCUUGUUCAACCACUAGGUUCCCAAAAGUAAAAAUAGCAUGGCUUCCCAGCCUCAACCCCUCUGCAUCACACACUGACCCCCCACAUGAUCGUGCAACAAAAGAUCUAAUACUUUGACCCAACGGUCUCUACUAGUACCCGCCAGAUAUACCAUAAUCACACGGGUCUCACCCAUGUGUCCUGCUCAACUAAAUUUAUAUAGACCCGACUCUGACCUGGACCAUAACGAUCCUUAACCCCAAACAAAGAAUACUCAUCAACAACCCUGACCGACGUGCCUAACGCACGCAUUGAUUCCCCAUCACACUCAACCAUUUCUAAUAAUGGUUUACGUCGAACUAAUGAUUGCUACGAUCCUAUCACAGUCUUACAACACCUCCAACCGACCAUGGUUUCCACUCAGGGCCUUACCAUACUCAAACCAACACAAUACCAUGCGUCCUUAGCUGAAUCCUGCAACUAAUCAGGAGUUCGAGUCAAGCAUUCGAAUUCCACGGCCUAAUAUGAAUGAAAAUAGAGAUGUCGACCUAUUCUCGGGAGUUUCCUGAACCCCCUACCUAACAAAACCAAAAUCCGAGCCGCCAUGAUCUAUCCACUACUUGGACUCGACGAAGGUCUCUCACCUUUUAACCCUUAUGGAUUUCUGAUCCAUCUCCCUCAAAUAGCUUGAACCGUCCAUACCCUGUGCUGAAUAAUACAAAUGUUCCAUUGUUAGCCAACUCAUUGAACAUCGAUUCCUGAAACCCUGAUGGAUACACUUGAAAUCUCAACCCACCAGAUAAUCCACAUCACCUCCCACGAUACCAUACCAAUUUCACCGAUCUCUUACGUUGGCGACUAAAAACUAUAACCCUUUCCCUGAACCAACGAAUCCUUAUCCCAACUUCCAUUAUCAAAGAAUUCUUGAAUUCUAACUAACUACUACACAUGCAAAUAUAAAACUCCUCUGACACUUCUGAUAAUUAGAAAACAUAUACAGAAGACACUACUACCUUCCUGCCACCGCUCCACUCCUAGAAACAACAAUACUUGAGCCUAAAAGUUCUUCCAAAGGCAACCCCCGCUCUCACCGAAACAAAACUAUAACUACUCAACCAUGACAAUUACUACUGAGCUAACUCGCUGAAUUUUGACCAUAUACCUUCCACACAAUCCCCCCUGAACUGAUCUCAACUAAACCCAGAAUAUCAACCGAGCACAUUGGAAAUUGCUACAUCAGAUACAACCCCUCAAUAACCAAAUAAUGAUUCAUGACAUGCAAAAGAUAUAAAUCAACUCUUGAAAAUAUUCCCCAACGAUAACAAAGCAAUAAACUGAAGACAAUGCUUACCCAAAUCAAUACAAAAUCCGAAGAAACAAGAAAACUGAUACACCCGGAAGGACUGUAAAAGAUAACAUAAUCACCAAAUCAACUGUUGGAGCAUAAGCAUACUCUGUCAGACACUGUAAUGAUCGGCUCCUCUCGACUGGGCUCUUGCCCUAUCCUCACAACCACUAUAGAUCCUAAAAUAGCCAUAGUAUGUGCACUCACUCCUUCCCCCUUCUCAUCGAACAUACGGUGCACUUGUGGCCUACCAGUUGUAAAGAAACAUAAUGGACUUUCCCCUUGAGGACAAUCCCUGAUGACAUGAUCAAUCCUGAUACCCUCGUAUGUGACAUCCCCUAAUUUAUCGUCCAGAAAAGAGUGAUUUAAUUUAUGCUUUUUAAAAUAAAAUUAGAGAAAUCUUUUUAAAAGAUGUUGCGGAAUUGGUCCCUAAACAACAUAUGAUAAAAGUUUAUCAAAAUCCUUCAUUAAGAAGGUAUAUAUUUUCCAUAUAUAUCAAAACCUCGGGAUGUCAUGUUCCGAUAUAGAUCAAAAGCAUAAACAAGACAUCAUAAGCCUUUCAACAGUUAUUUACAACUAUUGGCCUAUAAUCCAAAAAUCACUCGUCGUCCUCCGACUAUGCUCGGGGUCCACUACAUGUAAUCAUAAAAACUGAGUGGGUCAGGCUUGGGAGCCUGGUGAGCAUAUAGGGUUUUCAACACAUAUUAAUAAUAUACUUAUUAAGUUCACCAAUCAACAAUAACCCUGAUUACCGAUUCCCGUUGUCCUCACUUUACGUCCCUAAACGCCUAUCACAAGGGACCUAGCCUAAGGAAUAUCAUCGGGAUGGACACUACUGCUAAGGGGUUUCCUCAGCCAUACAUGUCCUUAAGGCAACCAUGAGGGGGAUGGAGUACGCCAAUGAACAUUUAAUUCAUCAACACCUACAAGUUGCAACCUGCUAGUGUUCCACUGGACUGUCUAGAAAGUCCGUGGUCGUCAUCUAUACUCCGCUAGAUGACUACAACAACAACAACAACAACAUCGAGGCCUCUCACCUUUUUAACACACAAUAAAUAUUUCAUCUACCCAUGUUCUACCCAACAUAUUUUGUAGAUAAAAGCAUAUACAGUUUAAAACUUGUAUAAAACAUCAAUUCAACAGUCACCUCGAAUAAACAAUUAACAUAUUUACACAUAACACGUAUUUCAAGGUAAAUACUUCAUAUCUAUGUGUAAAUUGAAAGUAACUACACACUCACGUGUUUUGAUGAAAAUCGGACAGCAAUUCGUUUCCUAAAACGAUCGUUUCUAAUAAAACCGAGAGUUUUAUUGAGAAACCGAGCUUUGUAAAAGUCGGGCUUCGAAACCGAAAAGAUAAAUUUUCCGGGCUUCUCGGGCACUUCGUGGAGUAUUCUGGGCUUUACAAUCGAUAUCGGGGCUUCGCGGAAGGUUAAGGUGAAGAAAAUAUGAAGAAAGGGGCUAAAUAUGGCAAUUUCUUUAAAAUAUCCGAGAAGGCUCGCAGCCUUCUAUUUAUAGGGUGAAACUUCUGAUCCAAGGGCUGAGAGUCUUCUGAUCCGACGGCUGAGAGGCUUUGCAGGGGGUGGCUCGCACGAGGCUACGCAUGGCUCGCACAUGGGUUGCACCUGCGAGGGCUCGCUGGCAGCUUCUAUGUAGACCGCGGCCUACUGGUGCACAUGCGAGGUUCGGAGCUACGCUAUGCGAGGCUCGGAACACACGGCAGCAGGGCGAAGCUUCGGCCGGAGAGCUGGAUGCUUCGGAUUGGGCCUCCUCCUUGGUCGAAUCAACAUCUGACACGUAGCUUCGUAUGACUCAACAGCUUCGGUGACUCAGCAGCUUGGUGACUCAGCAGGACACGUGGCACUUUUUCAGCAAGGGUGACGUGGCAACUAGUGACUAUGCGAAUUUUCUCGAUUUUCGUGCCAAAACUUCUAAAAUCCAUACCUUUCGCAUAUAAGCUCCGUUUUUGAUGUUCUUUAUAUGCACGCGUAGCUAAAAUUACACUCUACAACUUCUGUUUAGGCUUCGUCGGCUAAAUUUGAAUUUAAAUUUUAUAUUAUUAUUUUUAACAGACCGGGACAGGAAAUCCUUUAAAAAUUCAUAACUUCUUCAUUCAACGUCCGUUUUCGUCAGAAUUUUUACCGUUGUGCUCCUAAUGAAAAGACCUUCAAUUCUCGUUUAGGUUGCUAAAAAUCGCUCGAUCUAAAAUUCGAGUUUUUAGCUGUCUACUGCUAAGCUGAAACUUCGAAAAAUCAUAACUUCCUCAUACGAAGUCAGAUUUAGGCGUUCUUUUUAUCGAACUUCUCGGUUUAACGAAUACUACGACUUUCGUUUAGAUUACUAAGGCUAAAAAGUAGUUUAUCAAAAACUUACUUUUUACGACAUUCAGCACCGUGCUGGUUUUGUCGUGAAACUUCGACAGGUCAUAACUUCUUCGUUAUAACUCGGAUUUUGGUAUUCUUUAUAUCCCCGAAAUCCUUGUUCCGAUCACUACAACUUUAUAUAAAGAUAUCGGGCUUAUCUCACACUUUAAUUUUGACGCUUAUUUUUAUUCUUAAUAUAGUAAGUCCUAAUAAUUAAGCAUAAAACACAUAAUUCACAUAAUAUUCACAUAAUUCCUUUUCAUUUCUUCAAAAUGAGUUACAAAGGUUAACCUAGACUAUCAACUCAAUAUAAAUGCCUAGGCUAGAAACACGAGUGUUACAUUGUAGCAACCUAAGUCCCUGGAAUUAUAAAUUCCAUCAUGUAGUUUUCCGCACACGCUGCACUGACCCCGACCUUGUUGUCCUCUCAACCAUUUUCAAAAGUCUUAGGUCUCUUCCCAGGACCCUCCACUAUAUGCAUCAAAUCUGAUCCCCACUCGCCAAGCUACUCCAAAUCGGACUCCCGCUCCCGGCUCUAAAAAUCCAAUCAUUCAGGUCUCGCACCCUAAAAUACUUACAAACUCCCUGAUAUCAUCCCGCAAUAUAACAUGAUACCUCACGUUCUUCAUUUCCUCAUCAGUUGCCCUAUCCUCACUCUUUCUUUCCAGAAACUCCUCCCACCAAUCUCUUUCCAUGUACUUUAAUAGGCAGAAAUCAUAGCAAACCUUCGCCUCCUCGGGGCAGAAACUUAUUCGGAACGCAUUAACCAUAUCUGCUAACUACCUCAUACUGACAAUGGGGUCCCUCUCCCCAUGGAAUGCAGGAGCUGCAUAAGCAUGGAACUCCAGGAAAGAAAGAGUGCAAAUUCCAAUGAUAGCCUCCUCUACACGGAAUGCGCCCUAGCACUCAUCCAAGAUCUCUGAAAUACUGCGAGAAAUCUCUGAUGAAAUGAAAUCCCGCAUCUGCUUGCCAAUUGGCUCAUCACCAACACAUGAGCCAGAGCCGAAAAAGAACCAGAACCACCACCCUAAGUGUUUAUCUCCAAACCGAAAUACAAUCUGCCAAUGAUCAAAACAUUUGAAGGGUCUAAUUAAUGGUUUGGUCUAGGCUUUCAUUGUAAUAGGUUCUUUAGUGUCAAUAUGCAUUUUUGGUAGUUUGUUUAGCUAUUUACGGCCAGGCUGUGAGUUUACGGUCAUAAGCCUGUUUACGGCCGUAAACCCAAGGUCGGCCCAGGUCCACUAUAUAUAGAUGCUAGCUAUGUCACUGAAUGGUUGUUGAUGCCACAGAGUUCUCGGCUGCUGUUCCAUAAGUUGUACCAGACGUUUUUACUAACAGAAGCAUGUGCAACCUUGUUUAGAUUUCUGUUUCUACUUCGUUCUUGUUAUUAUUGAUUGUCUUAAUUGUUUGAUCACUAGUAACAUCCAUUUCAGGACCUUACAAUUGUAAUCAAAUCAAAACCAGUGUCAAUGCAUCCUAUAAUUGAAUUUUUGACCGUAUUCUUCAUUGUUUACAACUGAAGUUGGUGUCUUCUACGAAAGGGUUUCAAGCUUAAUCCAAAAAUCGCAUUUUUUCGAAGUUCUGGGAGAUUACGGCCAUAGCUUACGGCCGUAAACACAGCUUACAGCCGCAAACUCGGUUUAUUUCAUGAACCGUAAACUUUGUUCUUAGACCGUGAAUAAAGCAUCUUCAACAACCAGAAACUCAGACUCAUUGACCGUAUACAGAAACCACAAACUCUUUAUGACCGUAAACAGAGUUUACGGCCAUAAACACCCUUUUGACCGUGAACACUUGUUUGACCGGAAACUCAAAUUCUUUUUGAAAAAUAACUUAAUUUUUUAUUUAAAUUAAUAACUUAAUUUCUACUCAAAUUAAUAUUAAAUGGAUUCACAAAGUCAAACACAUCACCAUGAGCUGGACUCUGUAAUGGGCACAACCACUCGAAUUCCAAGAUUGCUGUUUGCUGAAGGUUUUCCUGAAUGGAAGUACAGGAUUAAGAAGUAGAUCAAAAUGAAGGACUUCAAGAUUUGGAGAAGCAUCAUCAAAAAUCCUGUCAGAAUAACUAUCACUGUUGCAGGGCAAGUAGUUGACCAAACGGUUGAAAAUUACACUGAAGAAGACUUUGAAAAGGUUGAGGAGCAGGAACGGGCUUUGGCUACUUGACCAAGGCCCUGUUUUUCGGAUAUAGCUCAAGGUUUUAGGGAGUAUACUUCUGCGAAGGCUUUGUGGGAAGCCCUAAUCGAGGUAUAUGAAGGGAAUGAAGACAUAAAGGAGAGUCGCCAGGAUAUGCUGCGACAACGGUUUAACAUGUUCAACUACAUUCCUGGAGAAACCCUGGAGGGACAUUUGCAGCGAUUCACAACUCUUACCACUGAGAUGACUGUAGCCGGGAACUUUUUCACAAAGUCUGAAAUAAAUAAAAAGCUACUGAAUGCUCUCCCAAAGUCAUGGGACAUGAAUGUGGCUGUUAUUAAGAAAACAAAGGAUCUAAGUCGGCUCACUAUUGCUGAAAUGACGGCGGUCAUCAAGGCCUGUGAUAUUGAUGACAAACAGCGGGAGAUAAAUCAUGUGAAUUCAUACUUAUUUGCAAACCUUGGAAACUUAUCUAACAAUGCUCUUUCAUCUCUCACCUUUUCCUCUGCAGGUCAACCCUUUGCUGCUCAGCAAGCUCAGAUUCAGUCCUUUUCCACUCCAUCAGCUACUUCACUUCCUGCUGCAUCAUCCAUGCCUUUCUCUCAGAACCAAUCAUUCGUUUCUACUCAAGCUACUUCUCGUUCUAAUGUGGCCUCUUCCUCAAACGGCAAGGAGUGUGACGAAAAUCUUGCUCUUGCUACAGGACUCAUUAACUGCUACAAUGCUCUUGUAGUUGGAGAUCUUCCACCACAGUUAUCAUUUGCUGAUCUUGAUCAGAUUUAUCCUAAAGACAUAGAAGAAAUGGAUAUCACAUGGCAGAUUGCCAUGGCAGUUUUCAGGGCAAAGCAGUUUGCGAAGAAGACUGGGAACAAUAACUGGGGGAUGAGUGCUGAUAAAAAGGUAGGGUUCAGCAAGGGAAAGUUGCGCUGUUUCAACUGCCACGAGCCAGGUCAUUUUGCUCGUGAGUACCGGAAGCCGGAUAGAAGAUUAAACAAUGACCGGACUAUGGUUGCAGUAGGAAAGAAUCGGAGCGGUGCUCAAGUCAACAGUGAGAAGGCUAUGGUUGCACAAUCAUUUGACUUGGAGGAUCCGAUGCAGGCCCUGAACAUAUCAAGACCUAAAAAUGCUCAGUUGGCUCAGGUUGGUGAUGAUGCUUCCGCAGAGAGUGUUGCAGCUGAUGAUCAAAUGAUGGAGCUGCAGUUUGCGCUGAUGGUCUCUUCUUCUCCUGAACCAAAGAAAAACGAGGUAAGUCUUCCUUCAUGCUCUCAAGCUUGUAUUGAUUAUGUUAAAAUUCUUCAUGAGGAAAUUGAAACACUACGUAGAGAAGUAGAGGACCUUAGAUAUGAGGGUUAUCAACUUAGAAAAUGACAAAAACCUCUUAAGGCCCAGUUAGAAACUAAAAUAAAGGACUUUAGAAAACUUCAAGAAGACUACAGUAAUAAAUGUGAAAAUUAUGACUACAUAAAGAGACAGAACGCUGAGUUAGUUACUGAACUUGAAACAUUAAAGGGAAAAUUUGAAACUGCUGGUUUUGAUUUUAGAAAAUUUGAUGUAUCAAGUGAGGUAGUUUCUAACAUGAUAGACCAUUGUAUGCAAUUUAAACAUAAUCAGUCUAUAAUGCUCGUAGAUCCGGGCUAGUCAAUUUAGAGGCAAUAACUGUCGAAAAUGACUUUUCAGUAAAAUAUUAUUUAGAAUAAAUAAUCUUAACCAAGUUGUAGUAUAUGUUACAAGGUUUCCGUACAUAUAAAGACCGUCGAAAUCCGAGUUAUAACGAAGAAGUUAUGACCCGUCGAAGUUUCGCGACGGAACCGAUACGAUACCGGGAAACAUAAAUAGUGAAUUUAUGAUAGAGCGAGAUUUAGCCUUUGCGAUCUAAACAAAAGUCAUAUAAUACGUUAAACCCAAAGUGUCCAUAAAAAGAACGCCCAAAUCUGACUUUGUAUGAAGAAGUUAUGAUUUUUCGAAGUUUCGGAUUAGCAGUGUACAAUUCGAAAUUCAAAUAUUAGAUCGAGCGGUUUUUAGCCGACACAACCUAAAUUAGAAUCGAAGAUCUCGUUAUUAGUAGCGUAAAAAUAAAAAGACGGACGAAAAUGGACAUCGGAUGAAGAAGUUAUAAGAUUUUAACGAACUAAUCCUGUCCCGGCCUGUUAAAAAAAUAACUUUAAAAAUAAAGUCAAAAUUAGCCGACAGAGUCUAAACGAAAGUUGUAAAGUACGUCUCCACCUACACGUGGAUAUAAAUAACGUCAAAAAUAGAGUUCGUAAGAAUGAGUUACAAAUAAUAAUAGCAUAUUUACGUAUUAAAAUAAAGUAUAAAUCAUAUAUACGUACACAUAGAUAUACAUAUGUAUAUAUCAUUAGAAAGGUAUCGACGAUGCGGUCAUUAUAAGACUAAUGUUGAGUUCUUUCGACAUUAGUUUAGUACAAAUAUCAUUAAAUCUAUUUAAAAUAGUAUUAUAAAGGGGUGUUUAGUUGUUUAUAUAACUAAAAGGUCAUUAAGUAAUUACGGAGGGUGGUUUUUGAAAAUUUAAUUAGUAUAAAUAAGAGCCUUGGGCUAUCAUAUUUCUUGCACCAUUCUCUUGAUUCAAGAGUCUAUAUCUCCUUAUCCCCCGAGCAUUUCGGUCCCUCAUGAUUCGACAUCUCUUUCUAUAAUUUUAGUAUAGUAAGGUGAGUGUUGAAGCGUUGCACGAAUAUUUCUUAAAAGAUUUAGCGACGAACUUCUGCCCCUGUAGAGCCCGACUCCUAGCUAAAAUCCCCUUGUAAGUAAGUUAUGCUUACCCUAUUUUAAAUAUAGUUUAUAUUUAAAAUUAGUAUUGUUAUUAUAAAUUUAUAAUAAAUAUUUGAGCUAUUAUUAUGACUUAUAUAAGUGUCGUUAUAAUAUCUUUCUAAGUACUCGCGGUACGGGGAAUCUGGUUUAAAGGGUUGCAUAGGGUUGCUGGAUUUCAGAAGUGCUAUACGCCAAAAUAGUCAUGCCCUCCGGUGUUUUAUGUUUGACCCUAAUCUGUACAUUGCGGUUGAAAAGUAUUGUUUAAACACUUAUAUAAGAAUAAUAAUAAGACUAAUAAUUAGUCACGGUAAAUAUGAGACUAAAAUCUAGUGGUAAUAAUACUAGGUUUCGUCGAAGGAAAUAAUUUUAAAGUAAACGAAGUGUUGUCCUAGUACCGAGUCACCUCCUUCUCAGGUGAGUGCAUAGUUACUUUCAUCUUACACAUAGAUAUGAAGUAUUUUAUAUAAACUGCGUGUUAUGUGUGCAUAUUAUCUGAAUACUUGUUGUCUAUGCUGGAUGAACGUUUUAUUUAUACAUGUUUUAAAUGAUUUGAACUGUAUGCGUAUUUUAAAUAUACAAGUAUGUUGGGUAUGAGAUAGGUAGAUGUAUGAUGAGAGAUAAAAGAUGAUGUGAGUAAACAUUGGCGGCUAUAGACUUAGUGCCUAACAAAUGACAUCGGUAGCUAUGGACUUAGUGCCUAUUGGACAAACACUGGUAGCUAUGGACUUAGUACCUGUUAGGAAUUGGUAGCUAUGGACUUAGUACCUAUUAGAUAAACACCGGUAGCUAUGGAUUUAGUACCCAGCAGCUAUGGAAUUAGUGCUUUACGAACGAGCAUUGGUAGCUAACGAUUUAGUUCCAGUCCUAUAACUCUGGAAGCAAAGGACUUAAGAAUAAACGAAUAUGGGAUAGAUGACUCUUAGGAUAGAUCCUUAAGAGUAAAGAAGAUAAUGGGGAUGGGUAAUUGGGUCGAUUGUUUAAACAUAAUAAUUAUAUUAUUGUGGGUUGAAAACCCUAUGUACUCACCACGUUUCCCAACCUGACCCACUCAGUUUAUUUAUAUUACAGGUGUUGAGAUGAAGUCACAUUACACUGAGAGAUUAAAGUUAUGUAGACCACUAGGGAAAAUAAAUAUAAGUUAUGUUUAUGCUUAUGUUUCUGUAUUGACAAUGACAUCCCAAAUGUUUUAAAACGAAUUAAAAAUACCUUUCUUCGAAAAUGCUUUGAUAACGUAUUUAUCAUGUUUUACUGGGACAAAUUCUACAACAUUUUUAUUAAAAGAGGUACUCUAAUUUUUAUAAAGCAUAAACGAAAUCUGUCUUUUCUGGCUGUGAAAAUGGGGAUGUCACAGUUGGUAUCAGAGCAUUAGUUUAAGCGAACUAGGAAUUUGUAGGAAAUUUCUAGACUUAAACUUAGAAUGCUAAGUGAUGAUUGUGAGGAGCAUGUCUAAUAGAUUUAGGUAAUACACCUGAAUAGACACAAGCACUAGCUUAUUUUAGGAAUGAUGCCUAAAUUUCUUUUACGUGCCAAAUGAUUGGUUAUGCUUUAUGCUAUAAAUUUAUCGGAUCUAUGUUCUGUUGCCAAGCAGAUCUAGAAACCUUAUGUGUUUAGGAUUAUAAACGUACGAAUACGAUAUUAGAACUAGCAUAUAAACGUUUCGGAGUGAUAAGGAUGAUUUAAACAUCAAUCCUAAAUUAAGAUCUAGAUUCACCUUAUUCAGUCUAUAGAUCAAAAUGGCAAGAACCCACAGUGGAGCUGGGAAUGCAAAUGGGAAUAGGAAUCAACCCUUAGUGAUUCAGCAAAUACCUGUCAUAGUAGAAGAUGUACCCGAGCCAAUCACCAUGGCAGGAGUACAAGCCAUGGUUCGGGCUAUGUUAGCUGAACAAAGGGAAGAAAUGAGGCAGAUGUUGAAUAGGGACGAACCUACUAUGCCUAUUGAGCAACCCAAACUGAUACCCGAGCAAUCGGAGGAAGGGAACUACAGCCAACAAGUAAGUCAAGUGGGGACUCAUGGUGAACGAAGGGGUGGCCCGGAAAGGAGAAACGACAAGGAUGUGCGAAUGUACAAGAAUUUCUUGGGUGCGAAACCNCGCAAAUACAGUUAUUAGACUUAUCCAAGUGGGAGACUGUUGGAUAAGGUGUCUAAGUCCAUAACUUAUUUGGUAUAUACUUGACCCGACCCGGCAUGGUCCAUUUGGGUUGCACUUCACCCGAACAAUUUAUAUGGAUAAUCUUAUGAGAAUAGUAUGUUUAUGAUUUAUUAAUAUAUUAUAAGUUAUAAUAUAUUAAUAUGAAGUCAUGUUAUUUAAUUAGUUUUAGUCUUAAAUUAAUUAUGAAUUAAUUUAGUGAUUAAAAGGAAGACUAAUUAAACAUGGGCUAUUGCAUUUUAUAUAAUGUGGGCUUAAACUCAUUAGGAAUGGGCUAAGCAUGCAUGGGGGUCCAUGGAUGAUCCAUGGAGCUUUUAACCCAUGGAUCCUUGGAAAGGAAAAGACAUGGGUUAUUAGGGUUUACCCUAAUCCUCCACACUAUAUAAAGAUGCACAUAUUGCAAGAAUUGGCAACUAGUUGUGUGAGAACUAAGGGUGGCCGAUUUCUACAUAAGCAUAUUAUUCUCUCAAGGUUUUCCAAGUUUGUGGUGAUUUGUGAUUCCACUUGAGGCAUUCAGAUAAUUGGUGCUAGGCUCUAAAACUCCAAGCAAACAACCACCUUCAAAAGGUAUGUAUUUCUACUAGUAGUUUUAUGAUUCAUGAUCGUUAUGUUAUGCUAGUUAGGAAGAAACCUUGGAAAUUAUUAUUUGCAUGUAUUUUAGAAGAAAACAUAGAUCCAAGGUUUAUAGGGUUGCAUGCACAACAUAGGAGUGUUAGAAUGCUCAUAACCCAACAGUGGUAUCAGAGCCUAGGCUUGUUUUCUUGUAUACUUGAUGCAAAUUGCUGAAAAAUGUCGAAAAACUGCAUUCUACACAGCCGACUCGCCGAGUCCUUCAUGGUACUCGCCGAGUCCGUGUGUAUAUUCAACCAACUUGCCGAGUCAGUUCAUGCACUCGACGAGUUGGCAGGCCUGAGUGCAGAUUUUCGAGUUCUGGUGCUGGAAUUGGCCUAGAAUCAUUACCUUAAACUGUUUUGAACUUAUAAAAUUUGUUUUUGAUGUAACAAUGAUGAUGGUGGACCAAUUUCAAAGUUAUAAUCAAAGUUUCAAGUUUAUAUAUGCUUAUAUGAUUCUUGAAAGUUGUUGAUUAUGAAUGUUCAUGAACUUAUGAGUUUUGUUAGAUCAUAGGAAUUAUUUGCAAAUUGUUUGUUACUUAAUUAUUGAUCUUAAUGUGUUUUAAUGGAAUUCAUAAUUUGUCCUCAAGUUAUGGAAUUCCAAAAGGUUUUUCUUUUAAAUGUUUUUUAAGAAGUCAUAAGUUACACUUUCGAAGAGUUUUUUCUAAUAAAUGUUUUUAUGGACUCCAUAACUUGUCCUCAAGUUAUGGAUUUCCAAGAGACUCUUCAUUAAAAGUUUUAAACACUUAAUUAAAACUCAUAAGUUAUGAAUAUCCAAAAGUUUUUGAAUUGUUCAAAAUUUGCCCUCAAGUUUUGGAAUUUGUAAAGUCUCACACAAACUUUAAUUCCAUACCCUAGAAGUUUUAAAAGUUAAAAUUCUACCCUUAUACUAUUAUAAGAUUAAUGGUUAAUAAUUAUAUAUAUGUAUAAGAUUAAGUCGUUUUACCGUUAGUAGGCCUCAUUCACGAAGCCGGUCUAUAAGGUGGGUAUAAGGUUGUUGCCUAUAAAAUGGCGACUUAAUGGGUGUCCACUCUCACCCACCGCUUGCUUGAUCGGUGGAGGGUCGUUAGCCGAACGGGUAGGACAAUGACUUUAAAUUCUCAUUAAAAGUAUAAUGAUUAUUAUAAAGUAACUAAAAAUUUUUUAUUUAAUUCCCAAUCUUAGUUACUUUAGGAAAAAUGUGAAUUUGGUGCUAGCCCAUGGAAUUCACACUUUGUACCUUACCAAGUCGUUGGUGGAGCGUGUGUGGUUAACCGGCACACUAACUUGGACUAGUAAGGAUCACGAAGGGUGACUUAAUGUUUGUCAUAGAUCAAUGGAGCGUGUGUGGUUAACCGGCACAUUGAUUAGGUGAUAAUAUUAAGGGUACCAAGUGAAUUGGUAUGGUUAUUCACACCUUGUUUUGUGAUCCUCGGCAUCCCAGUCACAAAAUUUGAGAGGGCACACUCGAGAUUGAAACAUGCCAUUGAAAAGUUCAAUGAAUCUCAAAAGAUCUAGGAAUUUCAAAUCCAAUUAAAACCUAAUAAAUUAUUUCGUUUUUCAUGGUGGAAAUUGGUGAAUCGUCAUUCGCCUACCUUCAAAUAUUUUAUAGCUUGGAUUACGGCAUCCCUCUUCCAAAUUAUAAAAUAUUGUGUUGGGUCCUAGCCUUAAUAUUUCAUAUUGGGUGUUAUAUUAAGGACUUUGAAUCAACUAACUUGAUUUUCUCCCAUUAUAGAUGUCUGGUUCAGACAACUAUGAUCUUCCCAAAUCUCUUGGAACAAGCUUUCCUCUUAAAGAUGAUGUCCCUCAACAUCAUGCUUCUCUUCCUCCACCCCCUCUAUUUAUUCUCCCUAACACACAAGUUUAAGGUCACUCAAGCCCUAUUGGCAAGCAUAGUCUAUAUGUGCUCACAUCUUGGAGAUAAAGUCACAUAUUGACAAGCCGGGAGAGUUGGGUGUCAAAGUCUUGUGAAAGUUGGAUGUUCAAUCACUUUCUUAGUAACAUAGUGAGUCUCUUUGGGACUACUAUGAGACAGACUAUGACAUGACCCUUAAUGAUGUUAUCUAUUUGCUUGGUGUUGUGGAAUCAGCAAUGAUUUGGAACACCAGUAAAGCAAAUUUGAUUAAAAGAACAACUUCCCAAGUCUUAAAUGGACAUUGACAAUGGUAGCAUUGGAUAUCUAGAAAAGGAUUUCUCUUCCCAAUGGAAAGGGAUCGGCCAUAGUCAACUCGGUUGACCAAAUGGUAAAGAGAAAGGCUAAGUCUGAGAUAGUCUCAUGUGCCAUUACCAAAGGGUCCAUAUGUUAUAUUGCCAAAGGGAGGGGCACUGAUUGCGAAGCCGCCAUAUUUACCUGAAAGAUCAUAAGAUUGAUCAAGUCAAGAAGUUUGACUCUACUUUAGUUAAAGUCCACUGUCUAACUCUAUUAAGUUCCUAUUUGGAGAUUCUUAUUACAUAAUGUGAAUGGGUCACAUGUUGAUGUUUUUAAGAAUCAAAGAAAAGAUAGGAAGCUUAAAAGAAGUAUAUGCUGAUUCUGAUUGCGAAGAUGAGUUUCAAUCACAUGGUUCGGUGAUCAGAAUUUUGAGCUGUUGCUUGACAGUUAUGAUAUAUUACUUAGGAAUAGAUAACAACAAGGUUUUCAUAUGGAUUGUAAGGAUAAGUUUUUCCGCAAAGUUUUAAAUAAAAAAAAGGGGUUUUAAUUUUAUUUACUUUAAAAAAUAUCCUUACAAUGGCAUUUGUGAAAAAUUGUUGCUUAUAUGUUUCCAGUAAUAGCAAUAUUGGAAAGUGGAUUUGAUUCUUUCAUUUGUGGUAGUGUCUGAAUUUACCAAAUGAGGAAAGGUUCUCAUCACCCAAGUUUCAAUUGGACCGAAACUUGGAAUCAUACAAGCUGUACCGUAUGAUGGAUGAGAAUUUUCAUCUUUGGAAAAUUAAGACUAAUUCCUUAUGUGAACAAGGAUAGGACUAAAGGGAUCGAGUACACAUGCUUGUGCACUGGUCAAGUCCGCCACAAUGAUUGAUAAGACUAUUCAUCAUGAUUUGCUAAAGUUUAGUAAAUAUGGUUAUACUUACAAGUUUAAGUAUAAUUCUAAAGCAUUGAAAAUAUUUCAAUGUGUGACAGAACGAAUGGGAAAGAAUCAAAUUCGGCAGAAAGAUAAAAGUUUCUCAAAUCUGAAAACAUGGGAGAGUACUUUAGUAUCAUGUUUUAUGAUCAUCUUAAUGAUUAAGAUACCAUAUCACAAAUUCAUACUCUAAGGACAUCUUAGUGCAUUGUUAUGACUAAGAAGAGGGGUCAUGAAUUGUUGGAAUGGUUAAAAUCAAGAAGAUGAAUCAUACUUCGUUCCAAAACAACUCUUAGAGUCAUACUCCAAGAUUGUAACAAGGAGUGACAUAAAGUAAGGUUUUAAAACACUUAUCAAAUGUAGUGUAAGAUGUUUUCUACUCCUGUUCAUUUGAAAUUGGUAAGUUGUGAUGUGUUGGAUAAGUCAAAGAACAACUAAGACCAAUUGUGUGAAGUGUUUGUCUUGAUAAGAUUCCGCACUAUCCCUUGAAUAUUUGUUUUGUCAAGGAAUGGUCCUUGACUAGGGAAACUUAUAUGUCAAGAGGACAGUGGGAGACUUAAAGACCCUGAAAGGAUUUCAAGAUUUAAUCAGGAGUAAAACCUAUAGUUUAUCAGGUUUGCAACCUAUCAUGUUAACAUAAUUCUUAUUUCUAUGCCUACUUCAAAUAAGUUGAAUAUGCAUGUGAGUUAUCAGAGUUCAAGUUGGAAGCAAUGGUGGGCUUUUGUGCUACCAAGUGGCAAGAAAUUAAGAUUGAACAAGUUCAAUCCAUAUGAGUUUGAAUUUUCACUAACCUUGUCUUGUGAUCAUGGUUUUGACAAAUUCACAUGGAUAGGAACUCAUACACCAUAAAAUCUAAGUGUCAUAAGGUUUCUCUCCGAUUCAUGAGAAUGAUGGUUAGGAAACGCUUUCACUAAGUAGAUUUUAAGUAGAUAGCAAUUGUGAUAUUUGCAUUUUUCGAAAGUCGUUAGUGGAGUGUGUGUGGUUAACCGGCACACUAACAUGGACUUGUGAGAAAUGGAAAAGGACUAAAAAAUUGAGACUAUGAUUAUGGCAUCCCUUUUCAUAGUUCUAGAAAUUGUUUAGACACACAAGUGAGCUAUCUACGGAAAGGUGUAUGAAUCUAAAUUUUAGAAGUCCAACUGAUUUCUGAAUACAUGUCAAAGCUAGUGGGAGCAUAAGUGUUAUGCUAAUAAUCAUCAUGUUAGUGGGAGCAUGAUAAUUGUGAUUACUGUUAUUGCAAGCUAGCAAUGUUAAUUAUAGAAAAACAAAAGUUUCAAUUCGUGAAGUUGCAGGGGUUGAAAAAGUCGUUUUGCUAUAAUUAAGGGAGAGGAAAUUAUACUUCAUUUCAAUUCUAGAAGCUUAGAUUGAGAUUUUAAUCAUGUUUAGUCAAGGACAUAUAUAUGAAUUUUAUGUCUGAAUGGUUCGACUUAAGGAAAUUCAUAUAUAUAUAUAUAUAUAUAUAUANNNNNNNNNNNNNNNNNNNNNNNNNNNNNNNNNNNNNNNNNNNNNNNNNNNNNNNNNNNNNNNNNNNNNNNNNNNNNNNNNNNNNNNNNNNNNNNNNNNNNNNNNNNNNNNNNNNNNNNNNNNNNNNNNNNNNNNNNNNNNNNNNNNNNNNNNNNNNNNNNNNNNNNNNNNNNNNNNNNNNNNNNNNNNNNNNNNNNNNNNNNNNNNNNNNNNNNNNNNNNNNNNNNNNNNNNNNNNNNNNNNNNNNNNNNNNNNNNNNNNNNNNNNNNNNNNNNNNNNNNNNNNNNNNNNNNNNNNNNNNNNNNNNNNNNNNNNNNNNNNNNNNNNNNNNNNNNNNNNNNNNNNNNNNNNNNNNNNNNNNNNNNNNNNNNNNNNNNNNNNNNNNNNNNNNNNNNNNNNNNNNNNNNNNNNNNNNNNNNNNNNNNNNNNNNNNNNNNNNNNNNNNNNNNNNNNNNNNNNNNNNNNNNNNNNNNNNNNNNNNNNNNNNNNNNNNNNNNNNNNNNNNNNNNNNNNNNNNNNNNNNNNNNNNNNNNNNNNNNNNNNNNNNNNNNNNNNNNNNNNNNNNNNNNNNNNNNNNNNNNNNNNNNNNNNNNNNNNNNNNNNNNNNNNNNNNNNNNNNNNNNNNNNNNNNNNNNNNNNNNNNNNNNNNNNNNNNNNNNNNNNNNNNNNNNNNNNNNNNNNNNNNNNNNNNNNNNNNNNNNNNNNNNNNNNNNNNNNNNNNNNNNNNNNNNNNNNNNNNNNNNNNNNNNNNNNNNNNNNNNNNNNNNNNNNNNNNNNNNNNNNNNNNNNNNNNNNNNNNNNNNNNNNNNNNNNNNNNNNNNNNNNNNNNNNNNNNNNNNNNNNNNNNNNNNNNNNNNNNNNNNNNNNNNNNNNNNNNNNNNNNNNNNNNNNNNNNNNNNNNNNNNNNNNNNNNNNNNNNNNNNNNNNNNNNNNNNNNNNNNNNNNNNNNNNNNNNNNNNNNNNNNNNNNNNNNNNNNNNNNNNNNNNNNNNNNNNNNNNNNNNNNNNNNNNNNNNNNNNNNNNNNNNNNNNNNNNNNNNNNNNNNUUUUUUGGUAAAUGAUAGGAAUCGGGGAUUCUCACAUUUACAAUAAGGAUUUGGGAUUGUGAAAUGAGUAUCAUUGGAAUCAUGUUCAAUUGAUCUACAUCACAAUGUAAGGAUCAUAGACAAACAUAGUGUGCAUACUUGAAGUAUGGCAUAACUAUUGUUUAGAAAAACAAAGUGUACAUGCUAGGAGCAUGGGAUAACUCUUGUUUUAUUCAAGUAUUAAGUUGAUUAUUUGAAACAUUAUACAAUGAAUAAUGUGUAAUCAAUAUGGUGAUAAAUAAAUGGUGGUUUUAUUUAUAUUCAAAAGGGUUCUGAGACCAUAUUGGAUUCGAUUAUUAUUGUGUUUCACUUUGCAUGUUUUGACUUCCAAAAUAGCUAGGUUAUUCUUUCCGAAUGACUAAGUUAUUUAAACACUCCACAGUCGUUCAUAUGUUGGAAGUAGGUAUGAAUCAAGACUGUCAUGAAUCGAGUUUGUAGAUGGCUAAAUGGGUUUAGACAUAGCAAUGGUUGCUACAACAUUCAUGAGUGCUCAUAAGUUAUGAGUAUUGGAAUAAACCCACGCUCACUUGUAUCACUUCAUGGAAUUUAUCUCGAGUGAUCGUGAGACGGUAAUAUCAUAUAAGUCUUCAAACCUAGAGAUAUGAGUUGUUUCCUAUGAGUUGGUUGUGCAUUGAUUGCACGUAAACGCAUCAGUAACUUGAUGUUAUAAAACAUGCCUUUGUGUACAAUUCAACAAGUAGUAGAACAAGCAUAUGAGUCGACGUUUAUCUUUUCCUUCUAGAAAUAGAAGCGAUAUCUGGGCCCCUCGAUGAUUUUGUGUUGACCUAUGUACCGGGCCCG